UCCUUCUCUUGGAUGUCGCACCUCUUACCCUUGGAAUUGAAACUGUUGGAGGAGUGAUGACAAAGUUGAUUCCUAGAAACACUGUUAUCCCCACCAAAAAAUCCCAGGUGUUUACCACCUACCAGGAUCAGCAGACAACCGUCUCCAUUCAGGUACUGUACCAUUUUUCCACUGCAUGUUUUCCAUAUAAAUACAAGUUGCUUGACUGCAUGAACUUGAACUCAACUGGGGUGCUGUUUGUUUUUAAUAUGUAUAGGUGUUUGAAGGUGAGAGGAGUCUCACAAAGGAUUGUCGCCUCCUUGGCAAAUUUGAUCUGUCUGGAAUUCCACCAGCUCCAAGGUUUGUUUCCUACUUCCAUUAUGUCUUGAAUUUUUCUCUAUUGACGUUUUGUUUUGUAAUUAAUUGGUUUUUCUUGUGGCAAUUGAACAGAGGCACCCCUCAAAUUGAAGUCACCUUUGAAGUUGAUGCAAAUGGUAUCUUAAAUGUAAAGGCAGAAGACAAGGGCACCGGUAAAUCAGAAAAGAUCACCAUUACAAAUGAAAAGGGACGUCUAAGCCAGGAGGAAAUCGAACGGAUGGUUCGUGAAGCAGAGGAGUUUGCCGAGGAGGAUAAAAAGGUCAAGGAAAGAAUUGACGCUCGGAAUGCUCUGGAAACCUAUGUCUACAACAUGAAAAACCAAGUCAGUGACAAAGACAAGCUGGCUGACAAGUUGGAGUCAGAUGAAAAGGAGAAAAUCGAGACCGCUGUUAAGGAAGCAUUGGAAUGGUUGGAUGACAACCAGAGCGUAGAGAAAGAAGAAUAUGAAGAGAAGCUCAAAGAAGUGGAAGCUGUUUGUAAUCCAAUCAUCACCGCAGUCUAUCAGAGAUCUGGUGGUGCCCCAGGUGGUGGUGCAUCAGGGGAAGACGAGGAGGACGAGUCUCAUGAUGAACUCUAGACUAGAUAAUAAUGAGAAGUAAUAGGAUAGGCAGAGUCUGUUAAUUUUUCUGAUAGGUGGGAAUUAAAAAUUUCCCCUGCGCUUACUUUUUUGUUGGCAAAUAUACCUGCAAAAUUAUUUGUACUUUACUUUUGCUAGAUUUAUGAGAGAACUUAUUCUGCUAUAUCACCCUGAGUUUUUGUUUUUACUAUUAUUCUCUUUUUAUCAUGCUUGUGUUCAUGCGUACUCCGUUCUUGUAUGCGCUGUCUUUCCAUCCUAGACUGGUUUGGACUUGCAUAUGUUGGUUAUCCUUUUCGAAGUACCAGAGAUCUCGGCGCUCUCCAUUAGCAAAUUUAUAGAAAUAGACCCUCUCCUUUUUCUAUCCUCUUCCUCUAUACCCUGAAAGAUCUGACAACACAAAUAACAAAGCCAAGUAGAGCCCCUUACAUUGAAUAAAUGACACCAUUAUAUGCUAUUAUCAAAUAGGAGUAUUACAUUCUUAUCCAUUUGUUUAGUUUUUUCUCGGAAAUUUUCUUUUAUAAUUCUUUAUGUCUUCUGCUAGUGAUUUACUUUCCUCAGAUUCAUCAAGUCCAAGUUUAGUUUCAAUUGGAGCUUCAGCCAGCCAAAGCUCAUUGAAUUAUCCAUUAUUUAGCUGAAUACACUCUUCAUAAUCCAAAUUGCAUAUUGAUUGAAGAGACUUCAUAGGGGGUGUAUUGGAUUGAGAUUUCAAAGGAUUUUAAAAGAUUUUUUUGUUUUAUAAAAGUCUUGUGGUAUUCAAUCAAGAUUUUUAAGGAAUGUAAAACAUUCUUGUGGUAUUCAAUUAGGAUUUUCAAGAUUUUUUAAUGAGUCAAAUGAAAUCCAGCGGUAUUCAAUUGAGAUUUUGCAUAACUUAAAAAUUGUCUACUAGUAUUCAAAACUCUACGGAUUUUUAUGGAUUGUUGUGAGUAAUGGAUUUUGUGAGAUUGUUUAGUGUAAAAUGUACCUACUAACCAAUCUCACACCUAGCCUUGAGACUUUUCUGUCUCCCACACAUAACCUUGAGAUUUUGUAAUACUCUUCCAAAUUUAUUUUUUAUUUUAUUUUAUGUUUCUUCCAAAUUCUUUUUUGUUCUACUGUAACAAUGGUAGGUUAUAUAUUAUUGUCGAAAUCAUCAUGCCUCUAACUUGCACUUUUCUUAACAUAACUUUUACGUUAUUAAAAAAAAAAUAACGUACUGUAUAAUCUUGUGGUUAAUUUACCAUCUACCUAUAUAUCAAAUUAUAUAAAAAUCACAACUUUACGUUCAUUGAUAUUAUAAUAAUUUUUCUACUUGCAUUUUUCUACCUUUAACAUGCAUUUUUCAAUCAAAUUAUUAUAAUCAAUAAACUAACAUAACUUAUUUUUAGGUCUAUUUAUUUUGAUAUUAUAUGUCCAGAAAUAGUAGUAUAUUAUCUAAUAGUUUUUUUUUGAAGAAAUAUUACACUCAUUGAUUCAAUAUUUUUUUUUCGGUUGAUUUAUAACUCUGUAUUUUUGUUUUUGAGAUUUUUUUGUCUGUACUGUAUCUUUAAAUUUAUUGACCCUUUUAAAAUCUUAAAAAUCAAUAAAAUCCUUUAAAAUCUAUAUCAUGAAUCCAUUAAAAUCUUGCAAAGAAUCUUGAUUGUAAAAAGUCUUUCAAAAAAAGUCUUUUAAAAUUCCACAAAAUCAAUACAAUCCAACAAAGUCUUUUAAAAUCUUCAAGAUUUUUUCUAUCAAAACAGUCUUUUAAAAUCUCAAUCUAAUAGUAUUCAUGUAGUCUUCAUAUUUGAUUUUUUUUUUUGUUGUAACUUUCACAUAUUGAGCAAUACCCUACCAAACUUUGGCAAAGUGGUUCCAUUCCCAUCUCUAAAGAAAUAGCUAGAUAAUUUAAUUUAGGGAGAUGAUAAGUCAAUAAAAAUGGACAGUAGUCUAUCUGGUCCGAGGAAUUGCAAUUUUUUUUCCGAGUUUCUUAGGGAAAUGUUUCUCCCUAUAGCCGUUCCGAAAUUGUGCUACUCGUAGCUGGAAGUUAUAUUAUGGAUUCUAACUUAGAUGAUUUGGCCUGCCUUAAUCAUUUACUUGAUUCUUUACUAGCUUUCUAGUUCGGAAAUUAUAGUUGUCGAGAGGUAAUGGAAGAGUUGUUAUUUCUUCAUGAUAAGGUACUUGUGUGGGUUUCUUUUGCAGUGGGUUUUGAUAGAAGUUUCAUUGCCAAUCUCAACUCAUACAGAUAAACCAAAGAGUAUUACUUUUCUUACCCUAUGACUUUCUCGCGCGUCCUAUGCAAAUUACCAACAUGCCCUUCGAAUUAUAUAAUCCGGGACAUCUAUACGUAUUUCGGAAUAUAGAAUCCGGACAAUUGCGAAGUAUAAAAGGAACUUCACCCCCCAUUUUUACAGUUUCACUUUCAACAUUCUCUCUCUCUCUCUCUCUCUCUCUCUCUCUACAUUAUCCCAAGUUACGAACACCACAAAUCUUGUCCAAAUUUGGAGUUUUGCUGAUCAAAGCACUGCAUUUCAACCCAUUUCAAACAUCAUGGAAGAUAAGUUCGAUUUCUGUACAUAUGCAUGGUUAAUUUCGUCGAUUUUUUUUUGGAUUUCUGGUCGGAUGUAAUCCGGAUUUUGUUUUCCGGACUCGAUCGUUGUUGUCCGGAAGUUGAAAUCCGAAAAAACCCAGAAUGUUUUUUUGCUUCUGUUUUGUGCUGUUUGAUUGUGAUGUUUGAUUACCCUAAUUUGAAUGUUGCAGAAGGUUCAACAUCUAAUACUCGGCGCAUAAGGGAGGCAGGGCAUGCUUCCCAUAGGAGAGAGCGUCUCCGACGGCUGCAGGAGGAAGGUGGUGUUCCUCCGAGGUGUCGGGGUGGUAGAGAACGUUGUGCUGAUGUCGAGCAUCAGCCAGAGCAGCAAGAGAAUAUGGACAUGGAGCAGGAGCAGCCUGAUGUGGAAUUGCAGCAUAUGGAGGAGCAGGAGCUUGAGGAGGAGCUGCAGGGUAUGGACGAGGAAAUGGAAGUUGCCGAGCCACGGCGAAGGCGAAAGAAGAAGGUGGUGGACCCUGAGCCAUUAGAUGACUACCCCGGUGGCCCACACGAGACUGACCUGCUGUGGAGGUACCAUGUGCACGUGGCCAGGAAGGCGGCUGAUGGCGUGAUAUUUAUUAAUGUUAAAUUCACUUUAUAUCUGAAACUGCUUGUUUUGUACUGUUAAAUCUGCCUGUUUAUUUAUUGUUAAAUAUGUUUGUGAAGUCAUGAGUUUAAACUCACUUUAUUAAUUUUAAUUAUUUGCAGUGGCGUGGAAAAUUAAAAUGCAUCAACAACGGAAAGAAAAUAGAAGCGAUGCAUGAUGAAGAAAACAAAUUUAUCAUGGCUGGACGGUGGUGGGAGAACAAAUUGCAUGACACCGGCCUUGGUUGGCUCCAGGAUACCAACUACAGCAUGAUUGACCAUGGUCUAAUUUGUGCCUUCGUUGAGAGGUGGCACGAGGAGACUUCCAACUUCCACCUUCCGUUUGGGGAGAUGACAGUCACACUUGAUGAUGUGACCUCUUUGAUGCAUAUCCGCAUUGAUGGCAUGCUCCUGUCCCACGGGUCCAUAUCACGGGACGAGGCGGUGGAAUGGAUGGAGGAGUACUUGGGGUCUAGUACGAGUGAUAUUCUUAAAGAGGUCGACAAGACCAAAGGUGCACAUUGCAGAUUUACCUACUUGGAGAGGAUAUUCAAGGAGUGUUUGAAGGAGCGGAGGGAUUUGGCGGCCGAGUAUGGUGUGACUGAGGAGGUACAGAGGUUGCGGGACCAGAUUGUCCGCAUAUAUUUGCUAUACUUGGUGGGGAUCACGAUCUUCGGUGACAAAAGCUAGUGGGCUGUGGAUGUUGUCUACCUGAAGUACUUCAGAGACCUUGAUCUUGUUGCUGAUUAUUCAUGGGGAGCUGUGGCACUAGCUCACUUGUAUAAGGAGCUCAACAAUGCUGCACGUUGGAACACCAGUCAGGUGGCAGGAUACCUGAGUUUGUUGCAAGUAUAAAUUAAAAACUAUGUUUUAUUUUUUAAAAUGUAAGUGUAUAUGGUUUGUAUAUUUAUAUGUGGUUGUCUUUGGUGCAGGCUUGAGUGUUUCAUCACUUCCCAGGUAUGGGAAGCAAAGAUGCCUGAGAAGGAUAUGUAGAGAAUCAGUAUCCACGCGCGAUGCUUUUUUUACCACUGUCUGAUUUAGGCACAGUGGACAACUACAAAAACUAUCUAGAUGCGCUGGAUUUGACGAGGGUUGUCAUGACCCCAUAUGAAGGGUACCGUCAGGCACGUCAGUUUGAGCGGGUCAACCUUUACACUGGAUGGCUGAGAUGCGGAGAGCACAUGGUGAGAUAUCUGCCGGAGAGGGUGCUUCGUCAGUUUGGGUGGGUUCAGACCAUACCGAGACAUCCUGUUCAGAGCGCACCUGUUGAUGUUAACUUGGCGGCGAUCAAAACCGCUUUCAACGUGCACUUGAUUAUACGCUGACACCUCAGGAGUUGGGAGAGAUUGCAGUUCAUGGUGUGGAGGCAGCAGAAGGAUACAUCGAGUGGUUUUACCAGGCGUCUCAUCCACGCAUGAUUCUUCCAGACAUGCCGGUACCGUUGCCGAGGCCACCAGAGCGUGAGGUCCUUGAUGCGCGAGCUGCUCAAGAUGAUGGAGACCUUGCGUACUUACAGCUUAAUGGAAGGAUGACCCGCAUCAGAGACCACAUAUAUGCUGUGAUAAGAAGUGGUCUGGUGGCGAAAGGGACUGAGGAAUGGCAACAUUUGGAGGAUGCGUUGAGAGAGGUGCAUGAUGGGAAAGUUUACCGUCGUCGGGGAGCUACUGAGGGUGGCAGGGGUGCCAGAGGUGGCAGAGGUGGUGGCAGAGGUGGCGGUGGUACAAGUGUAAUUAUUAGGGGCUGAUAGUAUUGUAUUUUAUGUUUAUGUUUGAACAUUUUGAAUGCUUUUGAAUUAUGUAACACUUGGAUAAUUUUUAAUGUUAUGUAAUCUUGAAUAAUUUUUAAUUAUAUUUGAUUAAUGCUUUGUUCGAAAAUUAUGUUGUGUUGAUGAUUUUAAUGUUUAUAAGUUCGAUUUACUGUUAGAACAUGUCACCGACAUUAUAUGUCUGUUUGGAAGCAAGCAAAAUGCGCCAAAACAGAGGCUCAGCCAAAACAUAUGGCUUCUGCCUCUGCACUGAUGCAGUCCGGAUUAUAUAAUCCGGAUAAGUUUAGCACAUUCCGGAUUAUAUAAUCCGGAAUCAUCGUUCACCCCCCCUGUUGACUUUCAACGGGGUGAUUUACACGUUUCAGAUUAUAUAAUCCGGAAGCUACCUAACUGUUUCAGAUUAUAUAAUCCGGAACAAUAUAUUCAUAACUGGCAUCAUCAUCCAUCAGGGUGGAUGAUGUGCCAAAAUACACUAAUAAAUCCGAAAAUUAAUAUUCCAGAAUGGGUUCAGAUUAUAUAAUAAGGACUAGGGGUAUUAUGGGAAAAAAAUAAGGUGCACGGGGAAAGGCAUAGGGUGGGUAAAGUAAUACUCUAAACCAAAUCACCUCCUCAAUAUACUUAAUCGGAUGCUUGGCGGUUAGGGCUGGGAAUGAGUCGGGCCAGCUGGGCUUUGCUUAAAUAGGCCGAGCCUAGUUGAAAAAACUAAAACUUAAGCCUGGCCUAUUAGCUUGUCAAAGGCUUUUUUUAAAGCCUGACCUGACCUUUUUAAAAACCCGGCUUGACUUAUUAGCCUAUCUAAAAGCCUAAUUUGUACUAAAAAAUUUAAAAAGGCUAAUAAACAUAUAUAUUUUUUAAAAGGCUAAUAUGUCAAUAAAAUUUUGUAAAGUAUGUACAUCUAUUUCCCCCCGCUUUAUUAGCGCAUAUAUAUAUAUAUAUAUAUAUAUAUAUAUAUAUAUAUAUAUAUAUAUAUAUCGUAUAUCCAAUAAAAUUUUGUAGAGCUAACACAUCCAUUUUGUAGAGGUUAAUACGCAUGUAUUAUAAAAUGUAUUUUAUAGAGAUUAAUACGCGUGUAUUAUAUAAUGUAGUAUAUAUAAUUACAUAUAUGGGCCGACCUGAUAGACUUAGUAGGCUAUUCUAUAAGUCUUAGCCUAGCCUAUUUAAAUUAAGACUAUUACUUUUCCCAUCCUAUGGCCUUCUCCCGCGCCCUGUAAAAUUUCCAAAAAUGCCCUUGUGUAUUCCGGAUUUUAAAAUCCGGAUUCUUGUUUACUAUUUUGGAUUUUAUAAUCCGGACAAUUCUUAUGUAUAAUCAGCCAUCAGACUCUCUCACAUUUCAGCAGUUUUGAGUUUUGCUUUUAAAAACAACAAAAAAACUAAGUAAAAAAUGCUAAAAACCUGUCAAAUAAAAUCAUAAAAAUAGCACAAAAAAAUUCUAAAAAUCAAAUAAAACUAAUGCAAUUUUUUUCGGAUUUUUCUGAGAAUAUGAAAUUUUUUAAAAAAUGGGUCUAAACGAUGGAAUUUUGGAUUUUGAGGGGCGGAGUCCUGUAAGAAGUCCCUUCUAGGGGAGUUAUGGUCCUUGAACUUUUUUUGAUUUUCUGGGGAAGUUUCGAAGUAAUCCGAUCAAGUAGUCCAAAAAUCCGAUUUUUGACUAAGAACAGGUAACAAUGACCCAAAACAGAAGGAUGAGAGUUAGGAAGAUUAAUAUUGUCCCUAAAAUGACUAUGCAUGUUACAAACAUGUUUAAAAUUUGUGCUGAUACAGUUCAGAUUAUAUAAUCCGAACUGUUUUACCUUGAAAAAGGGUGUUUAGGGGGUUUCCGGAUUAUGUAAUCUGGAAACAUCAUGAUGUAACGCGCUCUAUUUUUUGAAGUUUUCGGAUUACGAAAUCCGGAAAAAUCCGUUACUCAUUUUUUCACCCUUUAACAAAAAAAAACAUCAUUCCGGAUUAUAUAAUUCGGAAUGUUCCAAGGGUAAUUUUGGAAAAAAAUAGGGCGCGCGAGGAAAGACAUAUGGUGGAAAAAGUAAUGCUCUUAAAUUAAUGAACUUUUUAAAAAGCUUGAGUCUUACCUAUUUAACAAAUGAGUUAAGCCGAGCCGGACUUUAAGUAGGUCAGGUCAUAGGCCCCUGACGAGCGGCCUGGUCUAUUCUCACCCCUAUUGGCGGUUUUCAUGGCUUAUCAGACUGUACACAAAUCUUUGCUAAUUUUAAACAUCUUGCUAUACUUUUGAGUAAUUUCAUAACAUAACAUGUUUGUUUUUGGGUCAAGUAGCCUAAUUGCUAAAAAUUCACCCCUUAAGGUGAAUAAGUGAAAACAUCCCUAUCAACUGAGUUAUAUUAUUAAUGUUUUUUUUUUUUUAUUCAGUUUAUAAUUAUGUUAUUAUGUUGAAAUCACUAAAUCGUUUAGAAGUCAUAAGUUGGAGGCUCAUCAUCAAUAUCAUAAAGACGGACUCUUAUAUAACAAACUCUCAACAGCGGUUAUAUGCGCGGUGUGAAUUUUAUUUUAAGCAAAUCCUGGCAGGUGGUGUUGGAGUCUUAAGAAAAGGAAGCCAAGGCACACUAUACGCCGGAAAAGUGAAGGCAUUUGGUGUUCCCCGUUUGCUAGCUAUUUCCAGUGCAGUUUGCAUUUACUAAAUUUAGUGAUUACAAAAUUGGAUCCCUCGGUCUACACUGCUCAAUUAUGCAGUGCAAGUUUGUGGAACAUUUUUCCAGCUUUUGCAACAAAAUAACGGCAUUGUUCAUUUUUUUUUUACAGACAUUGCACUUAGGCUGGAGUGGAGUUCUUUUAUAUUGUUUUUCAAAAGCUAUGUUCACAAAACUGAACGGAACGAUAUAGAUGAAUCGUAUGAGUCAAGUCAUUGGCAAUUAACACCACUUCUUUUUCAAAAUAAAUUAAACAGAUGCUUUUGAUCAUAUAACACAAGUCUCAAAUUCAUAUACAGCUAAAAACUUCACACGGUUUUUUCAAUUUUGCACCAUAUCUCAGAUUCAUAGCACAAUCUAAUACUCCCUCUCCUCUGACUCUUUCAGUUUCACAUCUGAUUUUUAUUUUCUCCUCAGAUAAUCAACAUUUAAAUUAUCUUUUUAGACUAUUAAUGCUUUAGAAAUAAUGAUAAAUAAAUAUCACCUGCAAGACUUUGAUGAAUAUGAGAUGUUAAAACUGAGGACACAAUUUGGAGCAUUAAAAACUAUACCUGAUUUGUGUUAUUCUUUGCUGAAAUCUAGAAAAGCACAUGGCACAUGGCUAUCCUCUUGUGUAUCGUGUGGUCACUCUUAUUCUCACACUUCGUGUUUCUACAGCUACUACAAAGUGUUCUUUUUCAGCUAUAAAUAUGCUUUGCGACAAGAUGGAAGUCAACUUCAUAUAUCAAAAUGAUGCCAUAAUAUCUCAUCAUAAUUAAUGUUUAAUGACAGAUCAACUCAAUCUAAAUCAUCCUUACACAAUAAGGCUAGGAGCUAAACAUACAAGCAGAUCAGAAUCAUUCUUCUACAAAGCAUCACGAGCAGCUAUUCGGCAAGUUAUUGCAUCUUCAAGUGAUGAUAUUCCAAGUUCCAAGGCAGAUAUCUUGUAAUGCUGAAACAUAACAAAUUACUGAAUAUGCUAGUUGGCACAAAAAGGUGCAAAGUAAUAUGAAAGCCCUGACAAACCUUUUGUAUCUGGGGCAGGUUUGCUCUCCCUUUCAGCUCCUCCAGGUCAAUCUCUUUUCCAAUGACGAGUUUCUCUAUGGCUUUUAUCUAGUAAAGAGAGACAUAUAUCAUUUUAGUUAUGUAAGUGGCAAAAAAUAGGUGCCAUAUUUAAUUGUAGAAUCUUCUCACCUCAUCAGGAGUAGCAUCAAAUCGAGCAGCAAGGAUAUAGGUUGUGCUUUCAGAGAUGCCACAUCUUUUUAAAGAUUCAGUAAUCUAGUUGCAAGACAUGCUGAAAUUAGCAACUCUAAUUGGAAAUGUGAACCAUAACAGGUUAAAUAGAAAUACAUAAUUACAUGUUUGGACCCUGAGUAGUUGUAAACGAGCUCGGAAUGAAGAGUGCGUGUGGUCAAAGAGUCCCGUGACUUGGUUACAAGUGUCUUGUGAGCAGCUGCUAGAACAGGGAAAAUAUCUGGAAUCUGGUGCAGUUGAGAACAGUGGUAACAUCAGAAAGAAGCAAAAGUGUUUUGUUAAAAAUACAAGCACCAACAUCAUUGGGAUUCUUUCAUUACCAACAUAAGAGGAUCAUGUUAUGAGAGAGAAAGAAACAAAGUUAAAUUAAUAGAUCCUCUAUAAAUGAAUGUGGGUCACAAUGUCCUACUAAUUACUUCUGUAUAUAUUCUCUCACAACACGACUUUCUCUUGUGAGGAAGUAAGUGAAUUCAGAUGAGCUGGUAAAUAGCGAUGGACAUGACAUAAAGCACAAACAUAAGAAAUUAUACAAGUGAAGCAUUGAGGAAUGCAACUUCUGGCUCCAAUGUCCCAGCUUGCAUACUUUCCAAUAGUUCCCUGCAAGAAACAUAGUUACAUAAUAUACUUCCGCUAAGAGCUGGUUCCUAAUAUCAUGGAUCAAUAACAGUAUUUUCAUAAUGUAUUAUGUAUAUCUACUUUUACAGAUUGUUUUAUGUGAUGAUAAAUAGAAUUUUAUUUGCAAUCGCCUACUUGAUUAGGAGGAAUCGACAUACGAAAUGCAAUUGAUUGCAAAUGAAUUGUUGUAAAAGGACAACCAGGACCAAAUAUUGUGAAUAGUUAUGACGACACUGGUAAAAAGAAACAAAUUAAACUCUAAUUACGGUUAAACUGAAUUUUGAGAUUAAGCGAUCCCUUGUAAUACUGAAUAGCAAUAUUUGAUGGCCACUAAAAAACAAGCAUGCACCCUGAUAACCACUUACCAUAGUGCCAUAACAAAGAAGUGAAAAAGUGUUGUAACUUUGAUCCAAACAUAACUACGUACAGAACAUGACCUCGUUGAUAGUUAUCCUAUGUUGCAUAGUUACAUAUACGAGAAUACGACAAUUUUAAAAAUAUUAAGGUACGGGGUACAUCCAUAAAAAACACGAGAUUUGUUAUAUAAAAUAAAAUAAAAGAGCUAAAUUCUUCAAUUCACAGCAAAAACAACACAAUAAAAGUUUAAAAAUUCAAAAAUUGUGUUUGAGUGAAUGUAAGGAACUAUUACUGCGUUCUCAAUAUCUCAAGUUCUUGGAGAACUAGUUCAGGUGGCUUAUUGCCAUCAAAUAUGCUCUUAUUGCCCUUCGUUGCUUGGUAAAAAAUUGUGGCUUUGACAAAAUAUCCGAUUCAUUACGAUACAACAAUGGAAGCAUUGAAAGCUAUUUUGUCCAAUAAGUAUAGUUUACCCAAAUUGUUGAUCUGUGCCAAAUGUCAAGAAUGCAUGGUUUAUCUUGUUAGGAAAGUUGGGCCAGAUGAUUUCAAAGAGCGGGAAGCUGUUCAGGUGGUGGAAUCUCUAAUAUCACUUGAUGGAAAAUUGAGCAAUACAGAAUACUUAACAAAAUGUAUCAUUUUAAAGGCUUUGGAUCAAAUCUGUCAAUGCCCAAAAGUGAGUGUUGACAAAUUUAUAGAUAAAAUUAUGCCAAUGUUGAUUGCAUGUGCUCAGCCCCUUCUUAACUUAACGGGCGAGGAGUCCAAGGAUGAUAGCCUAAGCAACGAGGACAAGCGUUUGGUUGAAACUAUGAGAGCCCAGGCUUGUAAUACAAUGUUUAUACGUUUUCCCCCACAUUGCCAAGGUCACUCCAAUGUUUAUAUGUUUGCUUGGUUGUUCUAGUUCUGAAAUUCGCAAGGCUUCUAUUUUAGUUAUAGCAAGUGACAAAAGUAAUGACACUAAAAGAGAUACAACUUUCAUCAUUGUGCAAGCUCUGACUCAAGUGCUGAAGACGGAAAUUGAUAGGGAUUUGUCUACAUUAGUAUUGAGGUUACUUGGCAGAUGCAUUCAGACCUCUAGUUCAUUUUUCACUGAUCAAUUGAUCAAGAUUGUUAAUGACGAGAUAAACGAUACAAUAAGAAGGAUUAUUAAAUUUGAAAUAGAGAAAGCACAAGAGGCGGGGACCUCGGAGGAUGUAUUUAGAUCUUUGUCAGUGUAAGAAACAAUUGAGGAAGUAGUCAACUUAACAGCAACAGCGAUUCAAAAAUUUGAAGACCAACUCAUGCUACCUGUUAAUGACCUCAUGUCAAAUGUUGCCAUGUUUUUGGUAUCAUAACAGAUAUAUUUUUAUCUCCUGUCUUGUUUUAGAGAAAAAUUAUCCUUGUGCCCAGCUGCAUGCUACAUGGGCGAUUGGUAUCUGUGCUAUGUUUGGAGGAGAUCAAUUUAAAGCUUCUGUUAGUGCGGGUAUCUUACAUCUAGUAAGGUCAUCAGUAAAAGACUUUCAACUAGUGAACUAUAUGUAGAUGGAAAUGUAAAAACAUUAUGUGAUACCGCAGUUGCAGCUCUUGGAAGAAUCUGUGAAUUUCACCGUGACAGUACCGGCCCUACGGGGGUUAAAAGAUGGUUAUACUUCUUGCCACUGAAGCAUGAUUUCAAGGAAGCUAGAUAUGCACAUGGGCUGUUUUCUAAAUUGGUACAAAGGUCAGAUGAACACCUAUUUGGAAGUUAUCAUGAGAAUCUUCCCAAGAUUAUUUUGGUCGUAAAAGAAAUUUUAUCCGGACAUAACCGCCUGGGGACUGAGGAAGCUACUAAUCAGAUGAUUGACUUCAUAGAUCAACAUGAUGGAAUGGAAAUUGGAACUGAGGAAGCAUCAAGCACUAUACGUUCCUCUAGUUAUUAGGCUUCAAUUGGAACUGAAGGAGGUGUAUGAUUUUUUGGUUUCAAAUUGAAUUGUACAAUAGAAGAAAAAGAAAGGAAGAUUUCAAUUCCAAUGUGUAAAGGUACAGAAAGAUUUGUACAUACAAUUACGAAUAAUAUAACCACAUUUGCACAUGCAAAUAAUACUAAUGGGCAAAAAAAGAAAAAAGAAUGAAGUUAAUGUUCAGAGUAGUUAGUUAUAGUUUUUAUUCUCUUAGUCCAUUUAUGAACAACUCAAAAGCUGUUCAUAACAAAUACACAUGCUUAAGAGCUUCAAGCAAUCAAUAUGAUCCAUCCCAAAGAGUGGCUAGCAGUUUCAUGAAAACUCGAUUCAGAUAUGAAGUAAUUCUAACAAGUUGGUAAAAAUUCCUUUACUUUAAUAUUAAUUUAAAGGUGACAUUACUGUAGAAUUUACAGCAUAUUCAUUAAACUGCUAAUUGCACCAGAAGUGCAAAAAAGCUUCAAAACAUCAAGAAGAUACAAGUCGUUAAAACGGCGCCCACAAUUGGUAAAAAGAGAGAUGAAGAGAAAGACUAACUUUGAAUUGGUGACAUCAGUGUAGAGUGAAAGAGAAAUAGUGGUUCCAUUGAUGUCGAUGAGCUUCAUAGCUUUUGUUUUGGGUGCUGCUGAAUGAAUGAAUGAAGACAAGACCUAAUAGGGUUUUCCUAAUUAUUUUUAGGGGUAUUAUGGUAAUGUACAAAUGGGUAAAUUUGGUAAUUAAUAAUAAUAAUAAUAAUAAUUGGUCACAGAGAGAGAGAGAGAGAUGUUGAUACAGUUAAAACUAAGAGAGAUUUGUUUCCUGGGAAUCUUUUCGGUUCAAGAUGUUAAAGAGAUUCAGUUCAUUAUUGAUUCUGGGUUUCAUAACCUUCUCUAUAUCAUCACUCAUAUUCAUUCUCAUUCACCAAAACAACUCAAUCUUCAAUUUUGUUGAUGGAUUUUCCAACAUCAAUGCUACUACUGUUACUGUUACUGUCUUCAAACAAACACCUCAAAAUGUUGUUACUAACUCAUCGGUAGGUAAGACCAUUGUUACUUUUGAAUCACCUAUUCUUCUUCUUCUUCUUCUUCUUCUUGUCAAUCUCUCAAGCAUCUACAUAACACAUGUUAUUUAUUACAUUCUAUUAUUAUUGGUGUCAGUGUCUCUGUGUCCGUAUCAGUGUCUUUACCUCAAUGCUAUUUAUGUUUCUAACAUUUUUAUGUGUCUAAUUUGUGUUGUUAGAUAAGGUGUUGGGAGACAAAUAUCAAAAUCUUAUGCCUGCUCGGAUCUUUCAAUCUCAACAACCUCCUCAGACACAUAAAAUCUCAGAUAUUGGUAAUAAAGGUUAGACAAAAUUACUCCACAUUUAUAGAAUUAUUCUUUGUUCUUUCUGUUAAUUUCAAAAUUAUUUUACAUUUAUCAUACUUAGCAACCUUCUAUUGCUUAUGUUGGUAAAAUGAACACUAAGAUGGUUUCAUUCACUUUCGUGUAGAAUUGUGGACUUCAAUUUCAUAUAGAAUUGUGUAUGAUGCAUAUUUUAUUUCCACACUACAGGUCCAAAAUAUGAUUCACUUGAACACCAAAAGAAGCAUCAUUCUCUAGCUUCUGCUAAUGACCGAUUUCUUGAUGGACUACUAGUUUCCACAUUUGAUGAAGCAUCAUGCUUAAGUAGAUUUAAAUCUCACUUAUACCGCAAAGCUUCCCCUUAUAAACCUUCUGCAUAUCUGUUAUCCAAGCUACGAAACUAUGAACAUCUUCAUAGAAGUUGUGGACCAAAUACCAAACCAUACAGCAAAAUCAUGACAAAGGGUCCAAAAUUUAGCAAAGGUGAUGCCGAUACAAAGUGCAAAUACCUUGUAUGGACAGCUUCCAAUGGAUUGGGGAACAGGAUGAUAACCUUGGCGGCAGCGUUUCUUUAUGCUAUUCUUACGGACCGGGUUCUACUUGUCAAAUUUGGCGCUGACAUGUUUGGUCUCUUUUGUGAGCCUUUUCCUGAUUCCUCGUGGUUAUUGCCCAGGAACUUUCCUUAUUGGAAAGAUCAGAAACAUAUUGAAACCUAUGAAAGCAUGCUAAUGAAUAGCAAGAAAAACAGAUCAAAGGAGCUUUUGCCACAAUUUCUCAUUCUUAAUUUACAGCACACCCAUGACGGUCAUAACAACUAUUUUCACUGUGAUCAGAGUCAAGCUCUUCUCCAGAAAGUUCCUGUUCUAAUUUUGCGGUCGGAUCAAUAUUUUGUCCCUUCUCUUUUUAUAAUUCCUUCAUUUAGCCAAGAACUAAGCAAAUUGUUUCCCGAGAAAGACACUGUUUUUCACCAUUUGGGACGUUACCUUUUUCACCCUUCCAAUGAGGCAUGGGAACUAAUUAGCAGGUUCUAUGAGACACACUUAGCCAAGGCAAAUGAGAAAAUUGGAUUGCAGAUUAGAGUGUAUAACCCUCACCAAGUACCACAUCGCACCAUCGUCAAUGAAAUUAUAGCUUGCAGUCUUCAGCAUAAGUUGUUGCCCGAAUUGAACGUGCAGAAGACAGCAAAAUCUUUUUUGAAGAAGCAGACACCAAAAGCUGUUCUAGUGGCUUCUCUAUAUUCCGAAUAUGGUGAGCAGCUGAAGACUAUAUAUAAGGCAAAUACAACUGUAACCGGGGAGGUAAUAAAAGUUUAUCAGCCAAGUCACGAAGGGCGUCAAAAAUCAAAUAAUGACACACACAAUAUUAAAGCAUGGACUGAAAUAUAUCUACUGAGUUUAUGUGAUGCAUUGAUUACAAGCCCCAAGUCUACUUUUGGGUAUGUUGCUCAUAGUCUUGGAGGUUUGAAGCCAUGGAUUCUGCACAGGGCAUAUGGGGAAACCAUCCCAAAUCCACCUUGUCAACGAGCCAAGUCCAUGGAGCCUUGUUUCCAUUACCCUCCCAAGUAUGAUUGCAGGGCCAACCUAACAACUGAUUUUACUUCCCUUUUUCAUCACAUGAAGCAUUGUGAAGAUAAAAAUGGUGGGUUGAGGUUGGUUAAUGCUAAUCGCUAGGUAAUAAACUAACUAUUACAACCAGCUCGGAGUUAUCUACUUGAUGUGCUAACUAAUAUCAGUACUUAACUUCAUACUUCUAUGUUCAACCAUAUUUGAGGUCCUCAAGUACAGUGAAGAAGAGUGUUAUUGUCCCCUAUUUUCAGUCAAGUACAUUGAUGGAAACCUCACAUGACUGAAGUCCUCUGCUUGUGCUAGUGCUAAUCUAUUGGCAAUGAGAUGAUAAACAAAUGAACGUCGCACGACUGAAGUCCUCUGGUGCUUAUCUGAGGCUUGAGGCUUGCAUGGUUAUGCUUAGCUGUUAUUUGUUGGACACCCCUUGAUGUGAUUGGAAUAUGAUUUUCUAAUAAGCAUUAUUUUGAGUCAACCAAUUUGUGUAAAAUCAGUUCUUAUCAGAGUUUCUUCAUGUUGUGCUACUGGUAUUAGGUACUAACCUUGUAAUUAUUUCUGUGUGCUUUUAAUAAGAUAUAAAUUGGGAUAUAGAUUGUAGUUAGUUCUGGUUUCAAAUUGGGAUAUAAAUUUUAUAUUCUAGACUUGUUUGUUUGCUUUAGUAUCUGUUUGUUUUCAUGUUAGGGAGAGUGAAAGGUGAUUCUAAUCAUAUAUAAUUGGUUUUGACAUGAUUGAGUGACAUUGAUUUGAAUUGAUUUUAACUUAAAGUCAGGAUUUGUGAUCUUUAUUUUAAAAUAAGGUAUGGAGCCUCAAUUAUAAUGCAUUAAUUCCUCAAAUUAAAUUAUGAAUGCUAUCAUGAACCAUUGUGUUGGGUAUUUUUAUGUUCAACAUACGAUACCUGUCAAUCUGUCAUAUUCUUUAUAAAAUUUAAUAGUAGCAACACGUGUCCUUAAUGAGCUUUGAGUUCAGCAGUUUUUCUUAAUUUUGCUAAGGUUCACUUGCAUAGUGACCACUUUGAAGCAACUAUUACCUCAUGAUGUUUCUAUUUUCCCCCCUAUGAAUCAUUUCCUUUUUUUAGGGAUUUCUUGAUUUACGACUGAUGCCUUGGAUUCGGAAUAUGUUAACUCCUUGCUUAGCGAUAGUUCCUAGUUUGAUUGUUGCGGUCAUUGGUGGCUCUACUGGGGUUGGAAGCUGGUAAUAAUUGCAUCUGUAAAAUAUCCUUGCCAUCAAUUUUAAUCGAGUUGUUUUAGUCCUAAAAUAUCUUCUAAUGCUUUUCACUUGAGAAUAUGUACAUGUUAUAAACAAUACAUUGUUUAAAUUUUCAUGUUAUGAUAUCAUGGAAGUUUCUCGUAUAUUUGCAACUCAACUGCCCUGUGGCCGCCACUGUUCAUAACUGCACUGUUUAGCUUCGUAUGAAGAUAUGCUGUUUUAUGGGCUGAGAACCAAAAUGAAGUUACAUAAGCAUAGAUUUAUUCUCUAACAAAAAUAUCUGUCAAUGCAACAUCAUUUUUGUUGCUCCUGUUUUGGUGUAUGCAUUCAUUUUUGUUUAGAACAGAACUGAUUUAUGCUAAAGCCCUUCUUUGUUUGCUGAUAAGAUGAUCCUAUCAUUUGAGCUUCCCUUUGCUUUGGUUCCACUCCUCAAGUUCACCAGUAGCAAAACCAAGAUGGGAGCACAUGUUAACUCUACCAUGGUAUAGUUUCUUUGUUAACACAAAUCUGUACUUCUACCUUGCAAGCAUAUAUGGUAAAUUAACACAUACCUGACAAAGUUGUUCAACAAGUUCUGAAUCAUUGCGCAGAUAUGCUGUUUCAAAACUGUAAUUAUAAUAGAUGCAUACAUGUUUUAUUUACUGUAAAUAUAACGGAUCAAUAACGGAUCAAAAUUUUGACCGAGACGCAAUUUUUCAUUUUGUUUUUCCUGCACUUGGAGAACUUGCUAGAAAAAGUUUUUUGUUUUGUAUGUUGUCUUACGUAGUAUUUACUUUUACUUCUUAAUCACAGAUAUCCGCUGUUACUAAUCGGUUCCCUUAUUAUGGUUAUUAAUAUAUAUACUACUUAAUGAAUGGUUUCAUUAAGCUGCUUCUUCAUAGUGACAUAGAAAUUGUGGCCAAGGUGCUUUUUGGGAUAUUAGGAUUUUCAGGCAAGGCAGCAUAUUUGGUUGGUAUAGCUUAUCUUGUACUUCACAAAAAUAAAGAGGGUGCACACCUUUUGGCUGUAACAAACAGCACCCGAAAGUUGGUAAAUGGCAAAUGAACGAGUAAACGGAUCAAUUUAUUGUCAUCCAAGAGAAGACAAAGUAAACAUGCAAUUACCUCAGCGAAGUAGUCCUGCAGAUCUUGACUGACAAAAUUAUAUGUCAAUAAGAUGGGGGCGGUGUUCAUUCACUUUCUUCCCCGACAGUUUGCUUAAUUAAUUAAUGUAUAAUAUUCUGACCCUACAUCACUCUUUGAUACACAAUCUUUCUUUUCAUUUCAAUGUUUUCAUCAUUCUCUUUUCGAUGUGAAGGGUAAUGUUUCAGCUCAGAUUAGAUGUGUUCCUCAGGAUGUUAAAAAAAAAGAAGGCGUGUUCCUCGAUUCUCAACUUACCAAUUUUCUUCUCAUUACUAAUGCAGCUACUGAGAUACUUUUUUUGUUGUUGUAAUUAACUGUUGUGGCUUUCAUUCUUGCAUUUUUCAGAGGAUCAUGAAACUGUUUCCUUGGCUUUGAAAGUUCGUUAGAUUGGAACCCAGCUUUAUGAUUGUGCUUCACUGAAUGAUUUGCUGCAGAAAGGGGAAAAACACGCGAAUAUGGUUGUCCCAUGUUCUGAUUUUUAUUUUUUUUAAACUAUGCUACACAUGUCUUUAAGUUAAAGAUUUAGUAUGAACUGUUCUUUGUAAUGCUGUUACUCAUGGAUAAGUGAGUUUGGAAAAUUACUUCCUCAUAUCUUGUAGUAUAAGAGAUUUGAAAUAAAAUUUCCUCUAACAAUAUUUCUAGAUAUUCUUAAUUUCCAUGGAGCAGAACACAUUCCAAAUUUUGUACAUAGCUUCUAUUUCUAUAUGAACAUUUUUUUUUUCCCAUGACUAACAGUGGAAACUUGCAUUCUCACCUCUUCCUCCCACCAUUAUAAUUUUAAAACACACUCACAAAAGUAUUCAACCAUGCAUGUUUUCCAAUUUACAUGGUAACUUCUCCUUUUCCUACACAGGGAUUAGAUUAGUUCACUUUUCCUGCACAUAAGGUUCACUAUGUGUAUGGUUCUGUUCAGUACUGAUACCCAAACAGUGGAGACAUGUAAGUCUACUUUGAUAAUUUGAAAAAUAAACAAUAUCCACAUAACUAGUGGUAGUAAAUAAAUACAAACUUGCUUAUUAGAAUCAGCUUAUCAACUCCAAACAGAUUGUAGAGGUAUUAGACUCAAGUUAUAGAGUCAGAACUCAGAUAUUUUAUGCAGUUAAAAGCGAUACGCAUUAGUUUAGAGAAAUAAAACAGUGAAUUAGCAGGAAUCAGCAUAGUUCAACUUCUGAAAUCUGAACAAAAAUGAAAGCAACACUUUCCGCAACUAAAGGAAUCGGUAGUUUUCCUCGAUUACUUCACAAAAGUAUAAGAUAUUUGGUUAAAAUCUUGUAGUAAUCAUAUACCUACUCACUACUAGAAUGCAAAUAUAAGAUCCUUUCACGAGAAACCUUCCCAUAUAUUAUUAAAGAAAAUGCUAUUUCGGAGCCUUGAAACAAACAAGCCGGAUCCUCAUCAACUAAAAAGGUCCCAACAGUUUUAAGUUAUGAGAAGACACUGUUUCUCUUUCAUCAAAUAUUCAUUAACAGAGCAUCCAUCGCUCCAAAUUCUAUCUUCACUUCAUCUCUCUCACCGUCUCCUUUAUGCCACCCAUCUAUACUCUUCCCACACACGCUAACACCCUUGUUUCUCUCCUUUCUCUCCCUCUCCAUGAUCGUACUUCCCUUCCCAUGGCAAACCCAAUUGGUUUCUGAUUUCCCUCAUUCUUUCUGCUUUAAUCAUUUAGUCGUAUUUCUCUUUCUUCAAUUUCAUUGUUUCAUUUGAUAGUUGACUGGAUUUCUUGAACGGCAAAUCUGAUGAAUCAAAGACGGCGGCAGAACGGUGAUUGUUCAAUGUAGAAGACCUAUCAUGUAAGUGAGUUGCGAAUGUUUAAUUUUAAUCCGUUUUUAAGAACUUUGUUUGAAUUUGAUUAUGAUAUCCCUCAUUAGGUUGAAGAUGCUACUACAAAAAGCUUGAGUGUUAUGAUAUCUUAGUUGCUAAAUGUAAUCCUACUCAUAGGUUGUGUGCUAAAUUUAGGAUACUUAUACUUAGUUGCUAUACUCAUUACAUUCAACAAUGAACAAUAGGCUGCUCAUAUGUCGUGUGCUCAAGGUCAGUCCUACCUCAAUUGAUUUCAUUACUUGAAAAUAACAGAUGAUCAAAGGACUAAUAGCAGAUUUGUGAUUGGUUAAUGACGGUUUCUUCAUUGGAUCAAAUUUUUAAAAAAGAGGCAAAAGUCUAUCUUUGGUUUAAGCUUAUGCAUUACAGAGACUUGAAGAUUAAAUAAUCUUUAUAGCUGGUUUAUAAUAUUGUAAUGAUAUGUUAUUAUAGUGUGCACAUGAGAUCAUAAUCUAAAAACUCCUAAUAUGCACAUAAUUUUCCACUGAUAGUGUCCUUUUAUUGUGUUUCGGUAUUCUUUUCAUAUUGAGAUUAGCAACUAUAUUUCGGCUCAUAAGACCCGUGCGGCGCACGGGUCACCAAUCUAGUAUAUAUAUAUAGAGGACAUAUCAGGUGAGAUGACUAUUUAAUAUGAGAGGGUGAGAGGGUUAAUUAUUAACCAUUAGAUUGAGAUAAAUGGUUGAGAUUAUAUUGGUCACUAAAACAACACAUGUAUCUCAUAGAUGUUUGUUUCGAGGUUUUUUCAAGUUGUUUCAGGUCCAGCGCUUCUUCUUCCAGCAAAACCCAACAUUGGUGAUGAAGAGGAAAAACACAGUCAGAUUUUUUUAUUUAUUUCAUGAAUGCAAUUUUUCUUGUUACUAUUAAAUUUGUUGAAGAUAAGUCUUUGCAAAAGCAAUCAAAUCCACUUCUCUUUUUAUUUUUUCUUUACUCUACGAACCAUAAUUGUUGGUUAACUACCUAUAAAAAUUAAGCUAGAAAAUCUAUCCUACAAAAUUCAAGGUCGAAGAAAGACGGGAUUGUAAAUGGGUUUCAACUUGAUUGAAAAAUUCAUGGUUGCCGAAUCUGGAAUGGAAGAAGAUAAGAAUGGGUCUUUAGUUGAGAAAACCAAACUAUGAAUGGGCUUCGAAUUGUGGUGUAGAUUUUAUUAAAAUUCCAUUGCUGUUAUUAUGAAGUUGAAGAAACAACGGAUAUGAAGUCCAUUGUUGUUGUGAUGGAGCAAGAGAGAGAAGAAAGGUGAAAACCGAGAAGGAGGAAGGAGAAGGAAAAAUAAUCAUGUGCAAUCAAUUUUAUAUAAAGCUUUUAAUCUGAUUCGCUCAAUUUGAUCUAAUGGCUAUUAAUGAAUCCUCUCAUCCUCUCCUUUAAAAAAUCUUCUCAGACUAAAAAUCUAACUCCUGUAUAAAGAUUUUAAAGAAUAACUUUAAAAGUAAGAAAAAUUCAACAAAAGAUAAUAGGAAAGAAAGAUGUACAAUGAACACGUGAAAGGAAAAAAAAAAAAAAAAUGUAAAGCUAAAAAAAAAAGUGCAAUCCAGAUGUAUGGAGCAAAACAAAGGUAGGCAAGUCACUGAGUCCGUAUCUCUUUCCUCUUUUCCAUCUCUUUACUCUUCAUCCUUCACUUAAAUAACUUCCCUUUAUUUUUAUUUAUUUUUUAGUCACACCAAACCUAAAAAUUUAAACAUACAUGUAUGUAAAAUAAAAAAGAGAGCAAGAGGUAUAAGUAAUAUCAUCUAAUGGGGAUCCUUUAAAAAGUGAGAAUCAAGACAAUUAAAUAAUUAGAUUAGCAGUUAGUUUGGCAAAAUCAUCCAAUUUGGGAAUUCAACCAAACCCCGUGACAACGUAAUUUCGUCAAAGUCACAAUCAUUCCAAACAUGCACGAAGUGUGCGCUAAACACCGCAAUCACGCAGAAAAUUACAGAGAACCAAAAACUACACUUAGAGCUUCUAAAAAUAACAGUGAAUGAGCUAUAAACUCAAUGGGGCAAUUAUCUAUCGCUAACCAAACACGUUUUGAUACAAAAAAUAACAGUGAAGGAGCUAUAAACUCAAUGUGGCAAUUGUCAAUCGCUAACCAAAUACGUUUUGAUACAAAAAUUAGGGUUUGACUUUACCCUUGAAAUGACCAUAGUGUUGAUCAAGUGUAUACAUAUCUCCAAUGCUAAAAGCAACAGACAGACAUAGCAACACAAAGUGUGUGUACAAAAGAUUUGAAAGAGUUUAGCUUUAACUGCUAUUAUAAUAAUAAAAGAAAAAUGUUACAUGAACACCCUUUAUUCCUACACCUCAUUGUACACUCCAUGUAUUAGGGAUAUUUUGGUAAGUUCAUCUCACAACCACACUUUAUCUUCUAUUUAUGUGGGUCCAAGUUGCCACAUGUCAGAAUUUUGUGUGGAUGUAAAGGGUAUAUUGCCACAUAGGAUGGUACAUUUAUCAUCACUCAUAAUAAAAACAUCCAUGACAAUGUUGAACAACAAAGGCAAAAUGAAUCACAAAAAACUUCCAAAACAUAGUUAAUAUGAAAUAAAGAGAAACAUAACAAAACAUAGUAAAUAUGAAAUAAAGAGAAACAUAAAUCGAAUAACAAAAGAAGGGAAAUUAAUAUAACAAAGGUCAAAUCUCUAACAACAACAUUUAAAACAUGAGGUGUAAAAACCGUUGGAUAAGAAAUUUUAAGAAAUAUGCAAAAUUUAAAAAUAGAAAACAUAUUUCUUAGGUGUGAGCAACAGAGGGAAAAUGUCUAACAACAAGAUUCAAAUCAUAAAGUGUAAAAACAAAGGCAAGAUAAUUUUAACAAACAUGCAAACUUAAAAGUAUAAAAACAUGAUUCUUCUGAAAUAGUCGACCACCUUGCCUUGUCAUCAUAAGUUUCAUUUUUAAUUUGAUUAAAUUUCUUGUGUAGAGCAUGAUGGCUUACAAAGGAUUAGACAUGAAGUAGCACCAAGAUAAAAAUAAUCUGAAUCAAGUUUUGAAGGAAGGAGCUGAAACAAUGUUCAAGCAGAUUGCAUGGGCUUACGAUGCUCUUAGUGAUCCAAGGAAAUGUAAGAUAAUAUGGUUAUAACCACAUCAAGGACAUAAGUGAUGUAGAUAAGUUAGGGAUUUAUGAAGAGGAGACUACAAAGAUGGUUGAGACUACGAGAACAAAAUUAAUGAGUAUCCUAGAAGAACUAUAUGAAGAUUGAAUGUGUUGAUCAAAAUAUUAUUGCAAAUCGAUUUAGGGUUAUCAUUAAUGUUAAAAUUAAGAUAGCGAUAAGUGAUAAUCCAAAUUGAUUAGCAAUAGGUCUUUUGAUCAAUAUCUAUUUUUAUGCAACCUUUCUAAAAAAAAGAGCAAUGAAAAAACAUGCAAAAGACAUGCUUACUGCGCGCGACGGAGAGAACUUGAUUGCACGACUAGAAUUGAAGUCGCACUGAGACGGUGAGAGAUUGAAUUGAAGGAGAAAUGGUUUUUUUUUUCGUUUAUAUUCAACUAGGGGUCACACGUGAUCUCGCACUUGGGUUCAUUGUCAAAUUUUUAUUUUGGUAAUAAAUGAUCAAAUAUUUGCAUGUUUUUGAUUGUAAAUGUUGUUUAGACCAAGUUAAGUUGAAUGUUGUAUAUUCUACACUCGAGAGAAAUAGAACAAUGAGUAGGAAUAAAAAUAGUGAUACACGUGUUUGAGCUCGUAUCAAAAAGCAUACUUCAACUUCAGAAAUCUGAACACAAGUGAGAGAAACAAUCCCCUAAACUAUGAGUCGCUGGUUUUUCUCAAUCACAAAACUACAAGAUAUAUUGUGAUAAUCUUGUAGUAAUCGUCCCCUAAAUUAAUUUCAUACAUUUAUGAUAGAAUCAGUUCAGUUGAGAAUCCUUCACCAUAAAUUUUUUAGCAUAAGACUAAAGAAUCACAACCAAUAUUCAGUAUCUCAAGCACUAAUUAGAUUGAUCCGUGUUGAUUUAUUUAUUAUUUUUAUUUUUUGCAAAGCAUAACCUAAAAGGCUUAUUAUUUGCAAUGGAUCCAAUGUUUUCAAAUGGAUAAAACAUGUAUUUAUAUGUAUUGAACCUGAGAACCUUCCCCUAAAGUUUUGUUGUUGUCAAUUCUGAACUUUUCCUUUCAUAUUGCAUCGUCAUCUAAAUCUUUCUCUUUGUAAAUAAAUCAAAACACUCAAUGAUAAUUUAAAAAUGUUUUUACACUACACAUGGGAUGAAAGGGAGUUUCAUUAUUCACGUAAAUGUGCUACAAAAAUAUGGAAUCUAUAUAUUUGUCUGGACCAGAUUUGCAGUCUUGCACAUGCCAAUCCAUAAUUUACUUUAUUUUGUUUUAUCCGGGGAGGUUAAUUUCAAUUAGAUUCCGACAUUUGGAUUGCCUGAACCUGUGGCAGCAACUCCCAUCCCACCAACACCAUCUAAUGAAGCUGCCACUGACUCAUGGUUUGCUGAUUCUUGAACAUCUUUGACAUCCAGCUCAUGUACGAGUUCAUCGAUUUUCCGAAAUUGAUACGGCCAUCUUGCAUUAUAAAGAAAUUGGCGAAGAUCAAACCUAUUAUCCUCUGGUGAAUAACUCUGCAAGUUGAGUGAAAGAUUGUGCAUUUUCAUCAGUCAACAAAAAAAAAAACAGAGAGAGCACCGGCCAAAAUCUUUAGGAGCGUGAAUAGCUACCUAGCAAAAUUCAACCCUGACUUUAAAUCAUAAUAACUACAUACCUCGGCAUGAUAGGAAGGUGUCAAGGUGGUCAUUUUGUGCCGAUUUAUCGAAUAAUACUUGAAGAAGUGUUUUACUUUUUCAGCCACUUGUGAUGGAGUCAAUUUUGCACCCCAUCUGUAACAUAGAUUCUGAGAUGGCAAAUUGAAAAGAAAAAAAAAAAGGUUAGGACUGAACUUAAAAUAGACAGCCUUAAAUUAUAAGCUUUAGACUGCUAACUAGUAGAUGCAAAAAUCUUCUACCAAGUAGAGCUCUCCGUAUCGAUUGAAAACAUGGCAGUUCUAAAAUCAAUAUAAUGUGACUUAGGAUAGAUGGUAAGGAGUUUCUUCUAGUGAUACUUAGCUUAAAAAAUGUGAAUUCUUUUGUUAUUUCAUUAGCUCUCGUCCUAAAGAAAAAAAAUGCCUUUUAACCAUUUUUUAGAUAAAUAGCCUUUUGCAAUAAAAGCUCACACAAGGAACUCCUCUUUUAUUUUCAAAAAAGCAGGUAAAGUUUUAUAACUGGAUGUUUGAUAUGUCCAUCUGUUCAAUAUAUAGACAAGAUCUGGUAUUGUGUUUUUACAGACAGUUGUGGGUGCGAGAUUACAAACACAUCCCUAAGUGUCUCUUUUGCUAGUAAUAUUAUGGACCAAAUUGAUUAACGUAAGACAUAUUCGAGGACCAAAAUGAUUAACAAAAGACACAUUUAGGUAUGCCUUUGUAAUGUUGAUACGUCCAAAGACUGCUGUGACAGUGACCAACAAAUUUAAAGAGCAAAAUGACAGUUUACUCUAGUUUCUUGCCAACAGAAAAAAUGAGUCAAUAAGUUACUGAUAUUGAACUUAUUUUGGCCUUGCAGGACCAGCGAACAACAAAACCAAUUUCAUCGACCUGUCAAAUGACAUGCAGGUAAGUUAGUUAUAGGCUUAUAGCCUAUGGGGUUUAUCUUUCUCGGCUUUGCAUCAUUCUUCAUUGUAUCUGGCCUAACAAAGAUUGAUAUUAUGAGAUGGUCAUGCAUAAGAUUACCACAUGUUUUCACUGUUCCUUCAACCAUUUUAAUAUGAAAAAUACAAAAACGAAAAAAACAAGGGAAAGGUUAAAGAAGUCAAUAGAUAGGAUGGAGAAACAUGGGAUAUACCUGGAACAUGGAAACUGGACCACAACGGAAAAUUUUGCGUAGUCUUCCAUAAACAGAUAGUUCCUCGUAAGUCAUUCCCAUAUCAACUUCAUCAAGCUGCUCAAUUAAGAACGAGUGAGGUAUUCGAUUAUAAUUUUAAAAAUUGAUCAAAAAUAUAUUACUAAUGGAUAAAAAAAAUAAAAAAAAAUACCCAGGAGAACAAGGCCACUGAAAAGUCAAAUACACAAUAACCAAAAACUAAUAGAUACUGUGGAGAACAAAUGAGCAAACUGGUUCCAAGACUUCACCCAAAACCAUCACCCUUAUAACAGAUUGCCAGAAAAUGUCUGGAUAGAUAGAAAGUCAAGACAUUUUAAAAGGUUACUGUGAGCUGAUAAUUAAGCUCUUGCUGCUGUUGAAUUGUCUCUUGUCUUGCAUCUAACAUUGUAGCAUAGACAAAAAUAACAUCCCAAAUACAGUAUGCCAACACAUAUGCAAAUGAAAGGAUUUAUUGAGAUGUUUCAAGACCGGUGAGUACUGAAAAGUGUAACAGAACAUAACACUACCUGACUGUAGUUAGAACGUAUAGGCUCCAGUUCAGCUGUGGGUGGAGCUGCUUCAAUAUCUGCCAAAGAUGAGUAACCAAGAUGGAUGGCUGCCCAUCGCAGGAAUGACCGAAGAUCUUGCUUACUUAUACUGCCAAUGGGAUUUAUAUCCGCUGAGCUGCAAUCAUACUGUAAGAAGAUGAACUUUGAUAACUAGAGUGUAAUAGACCAAAAUAAUGAGAAACUAAAGAAAAUGAAUGAGAAACUAAGUGGCCAUUUGAAGACAAAAAAUUUAUGUUACUAUUUUAUGUUUGACUAAUAAUUACAAAAAUGUCAUCUUAUUUUUUAUUUGUUUCUUGUUUCCAUAGAUUCAGCCAAAAAACAAAGUGAAAAUAAAGCGACAUGUUUUCAACUUAUAGGUACCCUAUUAGUUCAACUAUAUAGGUCCCCUAUAAAAACGUGUAAUCUAACGAUGUAUUGAGAUACCUUCGUCAAGUAGCCACGCAACCCUUCAUCCACGUUGGAGCUCCCCAAGACAAGAUAAAACCCAGGUUUGUUGUGAACCCAAGGCAAGAGUGAUGCUAACAUGAAAGCUAGCACCAUUCUGAUUCGAGCUUGAAUGUUUUGCAAGCUUAAAUUCUCAACAUUAGAUCCACCAUCUACCUGUAUAAACAAAAUCAUACAAAAAAUAUCAUUUGAGGCUACAAGAUGACAAAAAAUAUCAUUAGAAGUAUAACAUGCACUUAAUCUUAGUCCGGCAUUGAUAUGAAUCUGGAUUACGGAAACAGUUUAUAGAUGAAAACAGAGCAAUAAUGGAAAAUAAAGAGUAUUAUUUCAUAAACACAGAAAAAUACUAUAGGAUAAGUCAUGUGAUAUUCCCAUCAUGCCCUUCAGUAUUUCUUUUAACAUCAAAUAUCCACAGACUUUUUGGUUUGGGCAACUGAUGUGCUAACUGUCCCGCUGAGCCCUCUUUCUCAUUCGGUGUCCCAUCAGAGGUCCUGAGGUGGAGUUCUAUGUUGACUUGUUUUAAAAUCAAAAUACCAUUUUUCAUUAAUAUCAACAUACUCCGGUGGAAAAAUCAAGUGUGACAAGCAACCACAUCAUAGACUACACAGUUCUGGAAUUGUAUUUAUGAUUGAAAUAAUGCACUAGUCCAUAAUUCAGUCACCUUGAAGCGUGGUCGCUUUCCUGUAAGUGUUUGGAACAAAGACAAAAGAGCAGAUAUGACUCCAUCAAUGCUAACAUCAAGGUGCCAUGAACCAAUUUCCUCUGCCAGUACCUUGGCUCGCGACUUUGUCAUUUCCGAACUGCAACGUGAAUACUGUUAGUGCACCAUAACAUCUAACGAGGUUUUUUUUUCCAGUUGAUUUCAAAUAACAUAUUGGAAUGUGUUAUUCUUUUUGAACUUAAACUGAUUGACAUAAUAAAAGGAUUUCUUCAGGUAUUACACUGUACAGUAGAAUAGAAUUACAAUUCUAAUUGUUUAAAGUUAUGAAAAGCACCUUAUCAAGUCUCAACCCCAUUAAAACACAUUGGAUUGAAAAAAUAUUAACGGUCAUAUAUCUGCAAUAUCAUUGAUGAAGUAUUGAAGGAAUAUAGCCGAUAUAGAAACUUAGAUAGACACAGCCAAUGAUUGUAAAACACUAGAACAUGAAAAUUAUCACUUACCUGUUUUCAGAUCCCAUAAACACAGUAUAAAAUAUUCUUUUGGCAAAUUCUGUGCUGUCUGUAGGAUACUGUCCAUCUUUAUAGUUUCCGAUCCGUAUUGCAUCAGCUUUAACUUGUUCAUCCCCAUUUGCAAUUUCUGAAGGAAAAUAUGAAUCAGUAGUUAAUGAUAUCCAAACUACAAGGUUCGGAUUUGUAAGGUCAAAUAAUGUUGUUUAUUUCACCUCUGCCACGUCCAAAAAUUGUAAAUGAAAGAGAAAAGGAGAGGUAAAUAGUCUGUAUCAUUUUAACUAUAGACCAUGAUUACACAACUCAGUUUUUCUGUAAGAAGUAAAGCCUGGUGAACUACUAAAAGGACACUAUACUCUAUAUUCAAGCAAUUUUGCAAGACUUUUGAGAAAGGAAAUAUAAACAUUCAGGUCUGCUUCUCCAAUUAAUUCAGCUGUCGGUCAAUUAUAUGUGUGACCUCUUAACUAAUCUUCUUUGAGAUCUUUAUAGUGGUCACGUGAAUAUUUGUUUAUUACUAAAUAAGCAAUCCUAUAAUAGUAUACAAAAUAAUGUAGCUUUAAAAUACUGUCGCAAGUCGAUAAGAUAUAGAAACUUUGAAGGUAAUUCACAUUCCACAAUCUAAUCUAACUGCAGUUAUCAUUGCAUUUGAACUUACCUUUCACAACCAUCUGGCACAUGCAUCCAACAAUCGCAGCAACAGAGGAACUGUCUGCUCCACCAGAAAGAGGGAGCAGAAAACCAGAUGCUCCACUUCUUCGUAAAUAGUCCCAUAACCAGCAACCAGGUCCAAAUGCUAUUUCCUCCUCGGGAGAGUGAUAUUUUAUCUAUAAAUUUAUAAUCAUGUUUCAACUUAGCAACUUGGAGGCCUGAUUAAUUUCAGCAGUAACAUUAUUAAAUCAAUAAAGUGCUUGUGUGGAUUUGAUCAAACGUGUGACAAAAAGUCACGGCAACGUGAAAGCUCCAAAUAGCAGCUUCUUAAUUUUCACAAUUUCACUGCUUUGGAUGCGGUAUUUCAACGUGAUGUGAUUUUUAACUCAAAUCCAAACAAGCACAUAUAAAGAUUAAAAAUUUAGCAUGAAAAAUAAAACCUUGGAGCCAAAUACUCUUUUAAGGGAAAACGGUAUUCAUGGCGACAUCAUAGGUGCACCUUUAAAGCUCAUAAUGUUUAGCUAACUGAAAAUUGCAACUCAAAAUGACAAUAAACACUAACCUUAAGAGGAACAGAAAGGCGUAUUUUAAGGUCAAAAGGAAGACAAAGACUAUAUGGUACAUCUACUGAAGGAACCUUGACUUUACAACUUGCUUGCUCUUGGAAGCUACUUAAAGAUCCUCUAAGGCUUGCAACCUACCAGUAAAGGAACCAAUCUGAUGUAAAUCCUUUAAUGUUUAUGGUCAAAAUGACUUUGCAUUGCAAGCAUUUAAAUAUGGAAACUAAUGCAUACCACGUCAAGAUCUAUCUGAGCAACCACAACCUCAACAUCAUUUAAAGAAAAUUGGGAACCCUGAGCAACAACAUCGCCAUUAACCACAACACUGGAACAUCCAUCUGUUACAAAUGAAAUGAAAAACAAGAUAAAUUUUAGACAAAUGAAAAAAUCCUACAUAAUUGACAUUUAAACAAUCUAAAUGGAAAAUAAAUAUCCUUAUACGGAUUUCCUCAAUGUUGAACUUACGUCGCCCUCCCAAACACACAAUGGAUAUUAAAUGUGAAAAAAGACGAACGGAAUUCUGUUAAGGGAAAUAUUUUCCUACCAUAGUAAAGGCGACCACCAUCACAGCCUUGGUGAUUACUGUACAUAUAGACACCUCCACGAGUAUGAGUAGCACCUAUAAAAGCACGAAGACGAACAUCAAGCUUUCUAAGUUGAUGGUGACUUCCGCUUGCAUUCAUAAACACUUCAACCCCAUUUAAUGCAAGCUCAGCAUGAGGGGGAGAUGGAGUAAAAAGUUCUUCACAAACUUCCACUGCAAUAGCUCUAAGAAUGGGAAAAUGCUUUAUGUUAAGCACAUAAUAAUAAACAUCUGAGUAUAAGUUGGAAAGCCCCAAAAACAUAAAUGAAACACAUACACACACAAUAGUUUGAACACACUACUUAGGUAGGUGUACGAAAGAAUAUGUAGAUAUGUCAAUCACAAGAUUGCCGCAUGGAUGCGAUGCUGAUGCAUAUAACUUUAGAAUGCAUGAGCGUAACAGGUAUCAAUGACCAACAAAUUAUUCAACUCAGCCGAGUAAACACAUCAACGACACCGUCAAACAAUGAUAAUAGAAAAAGAGGGCCAGGGAAAGUAAGGAUGUAACAUUAGCAUUUGAUGGAGAACAGAAAGGUACAGGACAGCGUAUUUUGUUUUGUUAUCUCUGGUUUCACCUACAAUCAGUGUACCAUUACCUUUUACUAUGUCAUGGCAUGUUCUACUUUCAACAUGCACAAAACAUAUAACUAUUGUGUCACAUUUUAAUCUAGGGAAAUGAUAACAUGUACCCUUAUGACACUUGUUAGUGUACUAAAAUAGAAAUUUUGUAUUGGAAAUUGUGCAUUCUAUUUCUCAAAAAGUUAAAAAUUGUUUUUUUUUUUUUUUCAAGACAUCUACUGUUUGUAGAUUCCUUAACAUGUGCUCUUAAACUAAAAAAGUUAGUGCAGCUCUUUAACAUAUGCAUCAACCCAAACACUACAUAUCACCAACAUUUCCGUUGAAGGUAAAUUUGAGUAUCUGACACCAAAUGACAUUGACACUUGUAAUUACAUACAAUCAUUAUUAAUUUUUCAAAUCAUUACUGGUGUCUACAUGUCAGUGUUGUGUGCAUCAUACCAAACACUCUAAUGAGUGAAACAAAAAUAAAGUGUGAAUUUGGCACUUACGUGUCUUGAAACUUAACAAAAGCAUAACCAAAAGGAACAGAUUUUUGUCCCAAUGCCUCAGAAACAUUAAGAGGAAGUUGAAAAUCAUCAAGUUGGUCCCUUUGUUUCCAAGCAGUAAACCAUCGAAGUUCUCUAUAAUUACCAUCAUUUGCAAGCCACAUCUUGGGUCGUAUCAUAAUAAUCUUUCGAUUGAAACACAAAACCUGACAAUUGUAUCUCUCAGAACCUUUGAUAAUAGGCAUUCCAAUACUACACACUAUGUUAUCAGUCCAAUCACCAACCAAUAUAUCUUUCAAACAUUCCCAUCUGCAGCAAAAAGAAAAAAAAAAAAAAAAAAGAAUUUCAGUAACAAAAACAAAAUAGAAAAACACUUGUGAAACAAGAAAAGAAAAGGAGAGAGAACUAUUACGAAUGGUUAAUGGUGUCGAGUUCUAAGAAGUGGUCUUCACAGCCAUAACCGGGGAUUUCAAGUUCGGGUCCAAGGCGGAUGACGGCGCCGGCUUGUUUGGAUUUGGAGAUGGAGUCUUUGAUUUGGAGAAGAUUGGAAUCGAAUUCCAUAGCCCAUUGGUUCAGAUUGCAAGUAGCUACCUUCAAGAGCCUCAUCGUUGAUUAUUAUUAUGAAUGUGAAUUUGUCUAUGUUGUUUGUUGAAGUGAAAAUUGCGAGCGGGUCGUUUAUAUAUUAUUAUUCAACGGUAUAGUAUAUGCUAUGCUUUGAUUCUACGAAGUUACUCAAUUUAGGUCCCCGAAUCCUUGGACGGGUGAUGUUGUUGUUAGUGAGUCGGUAUUGGACUUCACUCCCAACCCGGCCGGAUCAGUGGUUAGUUAUUACAAGACCUGAAAACCGCUUCAUCACUGAACCGGAAAAUAAACCGGUAUAAAAUUGGACAAAACCGGAAAUACAACUCAAUCGUGUUUUUUUUAAUUGGACUGAAGCUUUCGAUUAACUUAUCUUAGGGGGAUGUAUUGGAUUAGGAUUUUAAAAGACUAUUUUAAUAAAAAAAAAGUCUUUAAGAUUUUAAAAGACUGUGUGAGAUUGUAUUGAUUUUGUGAGAUUUUAAAAGACUUUAUACACUCAAGAUUUUAAAGGAUUUAUCAUUCAGACUUUUAAGGAUUUCAAAGGAUUUUAUGUGAUUUUAAAAUUUCAAAGGAUUCAAUGAAUUUUAGGGGAAAAAGAACAAACUUACAAGCGUAAAUGAUAAAAAUAAAUUCCAACGUUUGAAUAAAGAAAAAUAAAACCAAUAAAAAAUUAUUUUACUAUUGAUUUUCAAAUUUUAAGAAUUUUAUAAGAUUUUAAGGGACUAAAAAACACUCUAACACAUUAUUCUCAAUACACAUUUUUUAUUUGUUAAAAAUGUUAUUCCCACAAAAUUCAAUUGUUCAUAUUUAAAAUUAUGCCAGUACUUACAAAUGUUUAAAAAAAAAUAUCGUGUCAGCCAUUACAAAUCGGUCGAGUUAAUUACACGAGUUUACCGAAUGUUAACUCAGUCAAUCUCGUUAAACCUUCCAAUUUUACCAGAAACCGAUUUUACCUCAGAGUUAACACGAUUUUUAUACCUAAAAAGGUAAACUCGGUAAUCUCGGAGAGUUAACACUCGAUUUGUGGAACAUUGAUUACGACAUACUCUCUAUCAUAAUAUUCUCAAUACAAUUUUUUAUUUUUUUUUAUGAGAUAUAGUGAGGGAGAGAGGGGGGAUGAGAGAUGAGAGAAUGGAGAGGUAGAGAAAUACAUUGAUUUCGUCUAAUGUUGCUUAUUUGGAACACUUAUCACCUCCUCCUGAUCUGUUAGACACAAUUAGGAAUGAUGCUAUGGGAACUUUUUUCCUAAGAGCUUGAUUUUCUGUUUUUCUUUCUUUCUGUUUUUCUUUUUGUUCACUCUGUAACCAAAAAAAAGAGAAUGGAGAGGUAGAGAAACGAAGAGAGAAAGGAGAGAAUAGGGAGGGAGAGAGAGAGAGAGAGAGACAGAGAUAGAGAGAUAGAGAGAGAGAGAGAGUAACUUUAAAAACAAAAACAAUCUCAAGAAAUCUCAUUUUUUCAUGAAUGACUUUUUCUUGUUAAAAUUACACUACAAAAUCCAUUAAAAUCCAAUUGAUUAAACAAUCCUUCGAAAUUUGAAUUAUUUUGAAUACCACAAGAUUUUUUUUAAAUGAUGAAAAGUCUUGAUUGAAUACCUCAAGACUUUUUUAAAAUGACAAAGAGUCUUGAUUGAAUACCACAAGACUUUUUUUAAAUUGCAAAAAUUCUUGAUUGAAUAUCACAAGACUUUUUCAUAAUUAAAAAGUCUUUUAAAAUCACAUAGAAUCCUAAUCCAAUACAUCCCCCUUAGAUGUUGAGUUGCCUAUGGAACGCAUUGAACAAUCUUAUGGCCUGUAUUGAGUUGGGCUUACCAUCGAUGAUCAUGAGAUGUGGCUUUGAUUUGAUUUUUUAUUUUUUUUGUAUGUAUGUUGUAAUUGAAGAAGGGAAUGAUUCUAGACCAAAAAAUCACCCUUUUCCCAUGAAUGAAGAGGAAGGAUAUUAAAUGGCAUUGUAUUCCAUCACUAGUCGAUUUCCCAAAAAAAAUAUUAUGUAGCGACACUCCGCUUCAUAAACAGUCAAAUGAAUGAAAAUUGGUUUCACAGUACUCUUCCCAACUUUGAAGUUGUUUUGAUUAGGCAAAAUGAAAUUAGGCAUCACUUUCCUCAACAUAUUCGAGAUUGUUUUUGGUCAUUGUCUUAUAAAUCACAUUUCAAAAGAGUUAUUUCUAAAGACUUGAUACCUUUGAGAAUGAUGGUUAAUGGGGUGUCGUUGACGUAUGUAAUAGUCUCUGGAUUAAAAAAGACUUUAUGGAGAAAAUCUAAAAUAAAUAUGUCAGGAAUGUCCCAAUUUAUCUUUAAAAGAAUGGGAUGAUAGAGUUUUAAAUGCUCGUAGAAAAUAAAACAUUUUUCACUUCCUUAAAAGAAAACUAUUGGCCCUUCAUACUUAAAUCAUUGAUAGAUAUAUGCAAGUAAGUAUGUGUAUUGAUGGGAGUGAUUGGUAAUACCUUAUGAACCGUAAAUAUUAUGAUAAGAAUUCACAAGCAAAUCUUGAAUAGAUGAUUAGCACAUACCUGUUUUCAAUAUUGUUAUUUUUAAGAGUUAUUUUUUUAUAUGUGGAAUUGGAGAAGAUUGCAUCAUAGUAACACUUUGACAUCCAAACUAUAUUGGUACCUCAAUGUAACAUCAACCACAUUAUAUACGAUCUCCCCGGAUGUAUAUUGUUAAUAUGAAAAGGAAAAACAAAGGAUGGGAGGCAUGGACCAAAUCCACCAAACACAAUAUUAACGGAAAAAAAGAAAGAAAGAAAAAAACCUUCUCUAAAACAACUAGGUAAUUAAGCUAACGAAACUAAAACAACAACAGAGAAGACAAUAAUGGUUAGUCUUUCUUCAUAAAUAUUCUCCUCGCUAUAAAUAUUAUAAAAUAUUUUCUAAAAAAAAAAAGGAAAAAUCCUAAUGAUGCGAAGACAAUUUUCCCAUUUGACCUUAAGUUUCUAAGGAACCAACUUCACAUUAGUAUAUAUGCUUGUACCGUGGGGAGAGAGGCUUGUUCAAACCAUAAAUUUAUCCAACCUAUAAAAGAGUACCAAGGUGAUAUAUAUAUGAAGAUGCCACUUUAAGAAGAGACUAUUGGUGAUUAAGCUAACGAAACUAAAACAUCAUAUGGAUGCACCAUCGAUGUUAAUUUUAACUUAGGCUUAAUACAUCAUUCGAUCUCUUAACUUAUUUUCUGUUUUCAAUUUGGUCCCCUAACUAUUAAAUAUUUCAAAUUAGUCAUUUAUCUUCUUUCCAUCAUUUAAUUUAGACCUAUUUUAUUCAUUUUAAUCCACAAAAAAUGAGAUCAUUGGAUAAAUAAGGUCUAUCAUAUCUAAUUGUGUAUCACUAACAUCUGAUUUAUUUUACCUUUCUUCAUCUUCAUACAACCUUCAUCAAUCUUCAUCAUCUUCAACUUUUUUUUGUUCUUUUAAAAAUUCAUCAUUUCAACUUCAACAAAAACCACAUAAUCAAACAUUUAAAUUUAUACGGUGAACUGAUGAGUCAGUAUAUUGAGUUUGUUGCUGAUAGGUUAUUGGGUGAGCUUGGUUGUGAGAAGGUUUAUAAUGUUCAGAAUCCGUUUGAUUGGAUGGAUUUGAUUUCGCUUCGGGGAAAACCAAUUUUUUUGAGAAGCGUGUUGGGAAGUAUCAGAAAGCUUAUGUUAUAAAUGGUGGUGCUGAUUAUUGCUUUACUUUGGAUGAGGAUUUUUAGAUUAUGAAGAAAUUAGGGUUUAUCUAUCCACUAAUCUCGUUUAAUUAAUUUUUUAGGAUUAUGUUUAAGUGUUUCCGUUACCACUAGAUCGUCCACCUGUGCUGCCGCACGGGUCAUAUAUAGUUAAAAACAUUACUUACAAUUUAUUAUAAUACAAUUAUUCUUUUUGGUACCUAAUGAUAAAUAUCCUAAUUAUUUUUAAUGAAGUUAUUAUUAUUACACCCCUGACUCAGGAUCCUGGAUAAUCCACUGCGUACAUUCAACGUUCAAAUAUUGAGCCUAUCAAACCAUUGAUAUAAAAUUGGAAAUGGUCAUCACUCGAAACUCAAAAGAAAUAUAAUAUUUGAAUUUUAUUAGUCUCUAACUCAACUAUAUAAAUUGGUUUAUAAGAUGUAUAUAUAAUUAUAUUUGAACUAUAUUUUAUCAUUUUAACUUAAUUAAUUAUUUUGUUCAUUAAAUAAUAUACAUGUCAGUUAGUUAUACAAAUGUUAGAAAUCACAAAAUAAAAUUGUUCAAUGAUCUUUCGGAAAAAAAGUGUUCAAUAAGAUACUUAAGGCAUGUAUGAAAUUCUUACGCAAUGGAUUAAGUUUUUGAGUUGUACUUUCUUUAUUUUUUGAGGGAAAGUUGGACUCUCUUUAUAUAUACGCAAGUCCUAACAAAAAAAAUUGGUUAUCUAUGCAAAUCGUUAUAUAUGAUGGCACUCCAACGUGAUACAUAUAUAGACACACCGCAACUCACAUGAACGCUCUCUCUCUCUCUCUCUCUCUCUCUCUCUCUAUAUAUAUAUAUAUAUAUAUAUAUAUAUAUAUGAAAAGUGAUGAUCAUUCUUUAUUUGGAACAUAAGUGAAUUAGUAUACACAUAAAUUAUCCUAAAUCAUAUCAGUUCAAUAGUAAGAGUUUAACGUUAUAAUCUUAAAUGUUCAAAUCUCGUCAAUGGUUUUUAUUAAAAUGAUCAAGUGUCGAUUUCAUUAAAAAAAAAUUCACCAUUCUCCCUUUAUUUAAAAAAAUAAUACACAACGUCUAUAUAAAAUCACAAACUAAUAAGCAUAAACCAUGAAGGUCUUAUAACUAUUGAUCCAAAAAAAAUCAAUAAAAGCAUAUCUAAUAUUUGUGAGCAAUCAUUAGUAUUUGAGAACAUGAUCAUGUGAUCUAUAUCCUUUAUCACAUUCACCUUUGAAUCCUUUUGACCCGUGCGACAGAUACAUAAAAUAAAUAUGAAAUAAAAAAAGAGUUCAUGAAUCUCAAAUUGUUUGAAAUAAGCAAAAGAGUCUAACCAGCAAAAUGAAAUAACGAUAUGAAUUAAAUAAAGACCAUUAGAAAUUUUACUACAAAUUUCCAUUGAGAAUCCCAAACGUUGAAGUAUAAUCUUUCUAUCGAUUUGAAUGGGAAAAUAUAAAAUUUAAGGGUUAAAUAUGUUUUUGGUCCCUAUAAAUAUACCAACUUUUCAUUUUAGUCCUUUAAAAUUUUUCUUCAACUUUUAGUCCCUAUAAAACUUUCAAUCACUAUUUUUGGUCCCUCUUUUAAAGUAAACUCAUAUGUAGAAUUCAUAUUUUUAAAUAAAGAUUUUCAAAAAAAAUUCUUAAUAUUAUAAGAAUCUCUCCCUAAAAAAAUUAGAAUUUUUUAACAAAACAUGAAUUUAAUAUGAAUUUUUACGGUUAAAAAUUCAUAUUAAAUUUGUGUUUUGUUAAAAAAUUCUAACUUUUUUUGUGAUUUUUUUUUACAAAAUUCUACACAUUUUUGCACAAUUACAUUAAAAAAUACAAAAAAUAACUUAAAAAUAGAGACUGAAAGUAGUGACUGAAAAUUUUAUAGGGACUAAAAAUUCAAGGAAAAUUUUAGAGGUACUAAAACGAAAAAUUGAUAUAUUUAUAGGGACCAAAAACAUAUUUAAUCCAAAAUUUAAAUACUUCAAAACUUGUUCUACAUGAUUAAUUCUUCUUGAAAUACAUUCCUUCAAAACUUGUUCUACAUGAUUAAUUCUUCUUGAAAUACAUUUUUCUAGAAAUGUAAAAAAAAAAAAAAAAUAUGCUAGAUUCUCAUUUAUUCAACAGGUUUAGUCUCUAAAUAAUUCAAAGACUAAUUUAUACUGUCAAAUUGUGACAAACAAAUUAAAGUGAAAUUGAUAAAAGUCAUUGUAAUACUUCUCUAUCGUAAUAAAGUGAAAUUGAUAAAAGUCAUUGCGAUACUUGUCUACCAUAGAUUAUCACUAAUAACAAUAAUUGUUUCAUAGAACAUGCAACACUAUUUAUAUAAAAGAUUAUGCAGCAUGAGGAAGAAGAUUCUGCAUAUCCUUCGAUGCCUCAUCAAGAGACCAUCCUUUCAUAAUCAAAUGUCAUCCAUCAUUCAAUUCAACAUAGCCUUACCAAUCCAUAAAUGAUAUUUGAGGCAAAACUUCACCACUCCUAGAACAUGCCUUUCAGCCCUUGCCAUAAGCCCAUAAUGAGCUAAUUUCUGCAACUUAAUCAGCUCCAUGACAAUGUAAAAAAGCGGCACCAAACUUGAAAAAUUCCUUUAAAUAGUAAAGUAACAUUCUGACCACCUCCUUUGCUGCAUAAUUUUACAGGUAGAAGUUGUGAUAUUUUGCCUUCAAUCCAAAACUAUUUCAAGAAGACAUCUUCUAUUUUGAGUCCUAGUCCUGUUACUUUUAACUGCUAAGACUUUACUUAUACAAAAUAAUUCAAACAUUCAAACCUUGCAAUUGAUUAUUGGGUUCAACUAUAACAAACAACAAAGUAAUCCAAUGUAAAAAAAGUAAUGCAAUUUGAUAAUAUAUAUAUAAAGGGAGGAGAAGAGGACUUUCAUACCCACUUCAUUCCUUGCAUAUCAUUUAUAGGCCAAAAAUAAAAUAAAAAAACAAUACAACAAAGCUAGAUGUGAGGAUAAGAAAUUAGCAAAAAUGUAGAGAGUGAGAGAGGGAGAGAACAGGAUCAACAACUCAGAGUUGCCAUUGACCUAUCAAACUCUAUUUUCCACCAUCUUACCCAUUCAUAGAAGUCCAUCAUCUUUAUCCUCAUUGUUCUUCAUGUACUAUUCCUAAGCAUGCAAGAUGCAUUGAAAUGCUACAAAAACUUGCUACGAAACCAAGACAUGCAUUCUUUUUGGAUUUUAAUUGGUAUACAUUUACAAUAGUCAAUUGUCAUCAAUCAUAAAUGGUACUUCAAAAAAAAAAAAUCAUAAAUAGUACUAUUAAAACUAAAAACAAUAUAAAAAACUAUGAGAAAACAACACAAUUGGUAGACCAAGUAACUAACUAACUAACUAAAACAAAACACAAUCAGAAUAAUAGUAUGUCUCUAGUAUUUAAAAAAAGAUGUGCAUUUUAUAAAGAGAUGCGGUAACAAACUAAUCUUUUGAGGUCCUAAUGUCAGCAAAAAACUUAACCAGGGAACACAAUACAUAAAUAGACGGUUAAGAGACAGACAAAUAUUGUAAGUUGUAUUAAUUCAUGGUUGUCCCAAAAUGUCCAGCUCAAAGUGCACAUGCAAAGCCAAUAGCCAACAAAAAAAACAUGUGAACACAGACGAUUAGAUAAGACUAAAUAUGAUUUUUUUUCAACAAAGUAAUGUUUCAUACAUUUGAAGGCACGCAAAAUAAACAAAAACGAACUCAGUAUACUGCUCAUCACAUAUAUCAUGUUUCUGCAUUUAUGAAUAGACAAAAAUAAUGUGCAGACCUCAACCUUUAUAAUUACAUAGCCAAUCAUCCUUGCCACUUCAAUAGAAAGAUUAGGCAAUUUGCAUUUAGCAUAUUAAAAAAGUGGGGAGAAAGAAUCUAGAAGGGCAAGAAAACAAUGACCAAGAAAAGAUAGAAAAUAGCUAAGGAUACACAUGAUUUAAAGGACUUGCAAAUGCACUUGCAUGGAAAUGCUACGGUUAGACAGUCUUUUGACAAAAUUCUAUGCCAUCCAUUUGUGAGCAUGGUGGUGGUGAAGCUUCUCUUAGUGAUUGGUUUGAUUUGGAUUUUAGUGGUGGCAGAGAUAGUCGAAGAACACGACGUCAUAACCACUAUUAAGAAGAUGAGGGUGUACAAAGUAACUGUAGGGAUGAAAGAGAGGCAAAUGUGAAAUGAGGUUCAAUGUUUUAUGAGUGAGCAUAAAAUGCAGGGCUGAAAAACAAAUAUAUAAAACAAUGUCGAUAAACUUUAAAAGUGAUAAUAUGAUGUGCGGUCAAUUGAUGUAUCAAAUGAGAUGAUCCACUUGUAUUACUUGCAAUAGCAACAGUGAAACACAAUAACAAACAUGUAUAAUUUCGCUCAUAGUAUUUCAUCUACAUCAGAGAAAGUCACCUUUUAUAUUUUUGUUCUUUUCCUGCUUCAAUGAAUGAACACCCCCAGUUUGUCCAGCAAGAGUGUCAUUGAUAAUGCUUUGUGGUGCUCUGUUUGAUGAAUCACUCAAGCUUGGAUGGAUUUCAUUUAAAGUCUUCCAAAAAUAAAAAUACUACUUUAGAAAGCUCAUUAAUAGAACUAAUAUGAUUCUUCAUUUUCUGCUAGAACAAAAUCUGAUUGGAGAGAAAAGGAAGCAAUAGUAAGAUAACACUUACAAAUGAACUAAAAAUAUACGCAAACACCAAUGUGUAGGCUAAUUUCUGCUUCAUAGUUCCAUUUCUCUUUUAAAUGCAAAACUACAUGAGUUAAUUGAUAAUUAUCUAGCAAAUUCAAUUAGGGAAAUUCUUAUUGUGCAUAGGAGCAAACGUGAUGUUUUGGAAUCAUCAAAUAAAGAUGCAGAUUUAACUAUACAUAUAUAAGGAAAAUAAUUAAUCAUAGAAUAUGAUAAAGUAAUAUAAAAUAACAAUGAACACAGUGGCAUCAAGUAAGACGUCUUCGAUUACAGAGAGAUCUUCCUGUCGAACAACACUUGAUUCUAAUACUCUUGCUUCAUCGUAUGGCAGUGGUUUAAUUUUUUUCUAACAUAGAACACCAAACUAUAAGAAGAUACAAAAAGCAAGUGAAUUCAAUGUACUCGUAGCCUCUUUCUAUUCAAGCUGAAACACUAAAUUCUAAUUAUUUGCCAUGAUUAGAACAAAAACCAAAACAACCACCAUAAGUAAGGAAAAAAAGAAAGUGAAAUACAGAGCUAAACAUCAUGAACAAAUAGACACAAAAAUACAUCAUCUUAUAUCAGAAAUUAUAUAACACAGAAACUCACAAUCAUGUUUAGUUCUUCAACAAUUUUUAACCAAAGCUAAAACUUUUCCAAAAAAUAAAUAAAUUAACAACCACCAAUCGAGCCAAUUUACCAACUGGUUCAAAACUGUAAAACCUGAAAACCCAAUUGCUCUAUUUUGAUAAAUUGAGAGGUGGAGAGUGACGACGACAAAUUUCUGGCGAUUGUAUAAGAAUAUGAGAGAGAUGGAGAGGAACCUCACCGGAAAGAUAGAGGGCAUGAACGGAAAGCACCCGCAUAAACCGUCGUCGAGAAGGAGAGGAACCUCACCGGAAGGCUGGAUUGUUGCCAUGGAUUGUUCCGGUGCAUUCUCCAAAUAUGUAACAUAGGGAGAGUCGGGUUCUGAAGGAGAUUUGAUGGAGGCAGAAGCGGCGUUUGGUGUUGAAAGGGUGCAAGAGAGAAGAGAGACCGGAAAGGGGAUGAAGGCUAAGUUAAUAAAAAUGUGAAAUGGGAUUGUAGAGAGAGAAAGAGGAUUAGAAGGUGAUUUGAGAGAGGAAGAAGAAGGAAGGAUGAAGGUUUGAGAGGGAGAGGGAGAGGGUUUGAUGGAAAAGUGUAGUUCACGACAUGUUACCAAUACCCAUGCUUUCUUGUUCCAAUGUUGAAGACGGUGGAAUGCUUUGUUGGGAAUAUGCCGGUAAUUAAUGCUUAUGGGUUGCAGGAAGAUUUGAAAUUUGAAUUUGAAAUAGAGGCGCCAUUUUUUAUAACAUAGAUUCAUCUGACGGCCAGAACAAUUUGGAGUUAUUUUUUUAGGAUUAGGGUUAGGCAAUUAGGGUUUGCAUGUUUGCCAGGAUUAGAUAUAAAGGAUUUUAAUGGUAAAGUUCUUGUGCCUCUUAGUUUUAUUUUCUUAAUGUUUCAUGUAUAAAUGCAGUUUCAAUGAAAUAACUUAUGUUUAUUCUUUACUUUCUUUGGGGGGACUGAGAUUAUUUUAAAAGGAAAAAUAAUUUAUGUUUAUUCUUUACUUUCUUUGGGGGGACUGAGAUUAUUUUAAAAGGAAUUUGACUGUAUUUGUUUUUGAUUAUUGGUUCAUUUGAUUAAGUUUAAUUUUAUUUUUGAUUAAAAAAUAAGAACUUGAGGAAUUUGACUCGACUGAAUCUGUUCUUAAUUCUAGAAGGAAUUACAUUGCAAGAAAGCUAGAAAAUGGAUUCAUUGGAAAUUUUGAAUCAAUAGGACAAAGUAAAAACUGAUACAUAUGUCACCAUGCUGAUUCUGGAUCGGCAUUAUUUUUUAUUAUCAUUGCAAUAUUGGCAAAUACAUCACUCAAUCAUGGAUCUAGUCUUAAAAGUGAUUAUGGUCUUUAGUGGAAGUUUAACUGGGUAGAAAGUUCAUUUAUUUGACGUUAAAUUCUAGCCUAAAUUCUUCUUUUCUCGUGUUUUAUGACUAUAUGGCCGUGAAAACAGAGAAGCUACACCUUGUAGCUUCAGGCAGACUUGCUUUUAUUGUGUAAUUGAGAGAAACAAUGGUGAGUUUUUCUUCUUUUUUAGGAUUGUUCAUGAUAGGUUGUAUGAAGAUGAGGGAAGAAGAUGAAGAAAAGUAAAAUAAAUCAGGUGUUGUGAUACACAGGAUAGACCUCAUUUAUCCAACGAUUUUUUUUUUUUUUUUUUGUGGACUAAAAUGAAUAAAAUGAGACCAAAUUGAAUGAAGGAAAGAAGAUAAAGAACCAAUUUGAAACGUUUAAUAGUUAGGGAAUCAAAUUGAAAAUAGAAAAUAAAUUAAGGAAUCAAAUGAUGUAUUAAACCAAGAAGCAUGAUAUCCAAUUGACUUGCUUAGUAACUGGAGGAUAAAGAGGAUGACAAUCAACAUUGAAAUGCUUGGUAAUAGCAAAUUCUUGGCUAGAGGAAAACAUGUGACCUUUGGAAUGAUGUGUUGCAAUGAACAAGGUUUUUGACAUAAAUCACAUCACGAGCAAAAUUGGUAAAAAUAUCAUUAAGAGUUGAAAUGUGAUUAUGCAUUAUAUGAAUAAUAAUAGAUUGACGGAAAAAUGGGUAUUACAGUCACAAAAAUACUAUUUGGAUUUAUCUUGCUGAUACCAAUAACUCUCUUAUUGCAGAUGAAUAUCGAAAUAUUAUUUCCAAAGAUUUUCCUUCACGUGACUAGUCCACCAUCGCGUUUUUUUGGAAGAGAACGACAAGUAUUACAAAAUAUCUUUCUUACUAAAGCUUGUUUGGUCAAGCUAUUAGUAACCCUAAUUCUUAACCUAAUAUUUUCCCUCCAAUUAUUUCUGGCCGUUGAUUUAAAUCAAAAACACAUAUCAGCCGUUGAUUGAUUAUUUAUGGCACUUGCAAUUCCGGUCAUUACUGCUAUUUGUUAUUUCCAAAAUCACUCUUGCUAUUCCAAGUUUCCAACACAUAUUGCAGUGAACUAUGCUAUCUCUUCUCACUUUUCCAAUAUAUUACGUUUCCAACACUGAAACUCCUUUCUCCCCUCAGAAAAACAAAAAAAACGAACACUGAACCCUUUUCUAUCAUCUUCUUCCUCCUCCUUCCUCUCAUUUACCCCAAAAUGUCACCAUCGUCUUUCCCAUCUCAUCACUCCCCUUCACCAAUUCUCUCCGUUACGUCGUCACCAUCGUCGACUCUACCGGCACCUUCUGCGCCAGAAGCUCAUUUGUUCUUCUCCAUGUGCGAGAUCGAUGAGCGUGACAUGACUUUGUGAUUUUGAAAUUAAUUCACGGUUUUGGAGAUUCAAUUUCGAUUUUGAUUUGAUUUCAACUUUGCUUCCAAUCAGGUACUUCCUUUUUUCUCUCUAAUGCUGUAAAUAUUUCACAAAUCAUUCUCCAAUAUUGCUGCUUAUAGUUUUCUUUACUUUUUCAUACUUUUAUUCCGUUUGCUUCCAAUUAUGUGGUUCCUUUUUAUCUUUACCUCCCUUAUUUUAGGUUCUUUUUAGGUGUGAUUGAGACAUUGAGUCAAAUUGUGGAAUUUGAUGGAUAGAUUGUUAGAAAUAUUGUUUAUGUUGUUCAAAAUAAGCACCAAUCUAGACUUUGACUUACAUUUUUUGUUUGCUUAAUGUCCGUCUCUUCAAAAGUCACAACAGGAUAUUUAGCUACUGAUUUGUUGACAUUGAUUAUGUUUUUGUUUGAGAUAUUUUUAUUGUUACUAUUUUAAAAUAGAAGGUACUGAUUUGUUGUUAUGUAAAUUUCAGUUUUCAUUGAGCAUGCCAAAUGGAAUCCAUGAUUUUGGUUUGUUUGCUUCAAACCAAAAUCAUGGAGCUUAUACUGGAGAAUGAUUUGCAUAACUUCUUCACUAUGGUUUGGAGCUUAUUAGGUUAUCCUAUGUAACUUUAGGUUUGUGAAUCAAUUAUUUGUGACACAAACAUCUAAAUUAAGCAUCAAUUAUUUGUGAGUGGUAUAUGAAGUUUAUUUUCCUAGCAUUGAUUGUAUACAUCCUGGUGGUAGGAAGCAACAAAUAAUGAUAUGAUUUUAAGGGAUGACAUUAUUUAUUCCUUAAUGUUUUUCUAUUUAUAUUUGUUAGUUCUUACAAGUCCUUUAUUUUUUAAAGGUUUGGUUCCUAAUUAAACUGCAUUCUUCUGAUGUAUACAAUCAAUGAUGCUGGUGGAAUGUGGUUCAAAAGAUUUGAGAUGCAAGGUUCAUUGGUUCCUUAACGGAUAUCCAUGUAAGAAUUUUUAUUUGACCUCUUUUUUAAUUGUGUGAUUCAAGAACUUUGUUUGAAUUUGUUUUGGUAUCUUCAAUGUAUGUUGUUUAAAUCUGAAUCGAAGGACAAAUAAUAGGUUGCUUCAUAUAUAAACAUUGCUGCCUGUUAGAGUUAUAUGUUGUUCAUGUAUCAAUCAGACAUAAUAAUCAAUUUGUUUUUUCAACAAUCUGAUAUCGUUCAAGAAUGCCGCAAUUUAGAGUUUUUUUUUUCUUCCUGUUUAUUGUUUUUUUUUUUUUCUGUUUAUUGUUUGUUGUUUGAUAGCAAUAAUGUAGUUGAAUAGAGUUCUCAUUAAUCAUACUUUUAUGAAAUAAUGGACUGAUUAUGAUCGAGAUUCAAGAAUGCCGCAAUUUAGAAGUUUUUUCUUCUUUUUUUGAAAUACUGAUCAUUAUUUAGUGGUGAUAUUGUAGUUAAUAAGUGACGUCAGUAGUCAUUUGUAACUGACUAAAUGAAUUUUUAAGAUCUUCAGUUGUACUGCAUUAGCUUUGUUUCUUUUACUCAUCACAACCAAACACCAUGACAUUAUAAUGAAUAAUACUGCCUAUUUGCAGGUUUGAAAACAAACAAGGAAGUGUAUGUGUAUGUGGGUAUGAGAUGUUUAGUGCAAAACUACUGACAUUGGUCACUUUGGACAGAGGAGCUAGGUACGUGAAGUUGGAUGUACAAGAGUUUAUGUGUUACUAUAAUGAAUCGUUUUUAGUCAAAAGAUUGCAUUGUUUACUUUCCCUUGUGGUAUAUAUCUAUCACUAUGUUUCUCUUAUUUAAUUAUAGUACUUGACCAUGUUGGAUUUGUUUAUCUUUGAAUAAUUAUAAUUUUUUACAAACAAAAAUCUUGAGGCUAUCCGUAUAUGUCGCAAUUUCAAGAUGUUUUGCGGCAUGCGGGACUGGACUAGGUGAUCAUGUUUUUGGUCAUUUUUGCGGGUUUCACCUUUCCAAUAGUUUGAUAUUGAUCAGCUUUUGGUUAAUUUGAACUCAGCAACAUGGUCAUAAAUUAUCAAUGUCUGAUUUUGAUGUCAUUGAAAAAACUUUGUUAUAAGGAGGUUAUUUGUUGUAAGGAGAGAAUUUAAUGCAUGAAUGCAGUAAUAUCAGAGUAACCAUCAAAGUAUUUUGGCACAAUGUGAGAGUUCAGAGGACAUGGAUUUGAGUUGAAAUGUAUUGCAUGAUUAUUUUGCUUUUGCUUAUGCAUAUGCAUGCAUGUUUGUAUAUUAUAGACAUAGUUUCUGUUUUGGUGAUUAGGAGUGAAAUAUUUUUCAUUGUUCUUUACAGCUUAAUGUAUAACUAAUUAGCUAUAAGAUUAAAACAAAUUAAAGUAUAUGAAAAUCCAUUCAUGAAGUAAUUUUCCUUUCAACUUGCAUUAGAAAUUAAGGAGUCCUUUUUAGACUAAAGCAAUCAUUUGAAACUUUUGAAUGUCAUUGACCAUACUCCUUUAGGCCUUUUUUAGCUGCUAAUAUUUUUCAAUGUCAUUGGUCUUUAUUUCGAUAAGUUUAUUCUAUGUUGACACAUGUGAAAUUGAUUGUAGACUUUUCUGGUGUUUUAGAAAUCUAUAUUUACUUUGCGAAUUCAUUUUUUCAAGCCACCUAAAAAAAUUUAUCUCUAAAAGGGUGUUCUAGAAAGUUUGAUGUAUAGUGUAAGAAACAUAUUUUGUUAUUUUACUUUGCAUCUGAGUAAGCUUAUAUAUUCUAUUUAUAGCUUUGUUGUGGUCUACAAUCUUAUUCAGAAAAUCGUUGUUGGAGGGAGGGAGGAGUCAUUGUCAUGGAAUCACCCUAAGAUAAUUUUAUAAAAACACAUUGACAUGGAAAAUGAUCGGUCAAUAUUAAUUGAUUGACAUUUUAAACAUUCAUUAUUAAGUCACUUAUACAAAAAUUCUAUUAAUGACUCAAUUCUUUUGCAUCUUUGGACUAUUAAAAUGCAUUAGAGAGCAAGACCAAUGUCAUUUUGCUGCCAUAUAUAUGUUUUUCCCAUAGCUUUAGUAUUUUUAUGUUCACAAGCUUCCUAAUAUUUCUUUGUUUAGUCUCACUAGCUCCCUAUCAUACUAUGAUCUUCAUCUUUGUUUUACAAUCCUUUUCUGUUAUUUUAAUUCUAUUAUAAUAAGCAGCAUUGCUUUUUGUUUGUUGAAUUUUGGUUUCAUGCUCUAUCUUACCUCUUGCAGGUUUGGAAGAUUGUGAAAUGAAGAUAUGGCUAAAAUUUGAUAGUAGCAUGUAAAAUGCGGGACUAUGUUCAAUCUUUUAUACAAUUCAUCUGGAUUUUACAAUGCAAGGAUUUUACAUUGCAAAUUAAAUGGAAGCUUUGAUAAGAUUCUAAAUGUCCUUGAGGUGCAUGUUAGGAUAAUUUUGUUUACAAUAUUGUAACUCCAUUAAGUUAUUUUUUAAAAGUGUGAUAGGUUUGAAGACAUUGGUACCAAUGAAGAUGAUGAUGAUACUAAUGUAACGUCAAAUGGUGUAUGUUUUAUGUAUGAUUUCCAAAAGAAAAUUGAUGAGAAGAUGUUUAUAAUAAGAUGUUGUAAAUGAGUGAUAAUCCUUGCCUCUGUCAAAUUCAUCUUUUAAAGCUUUGUUGUCUUCGUAUAAUUAGUUGUGAUGUCUUUUAUUGAGUACUCAUUGGCAUCUAUGCUUUUUGGGGAAAAAAAAUAUUUAUGUGCAACUACAUAUAUCAUAGUUUUUAUUCAAUGAAUGACAAAACAUAUUUGCAACUGCUAUUCAAAAAGAAAGAACAUGAUCUCAAAUGAUAUCAAUACAUUAUUUUAAACAAUUCCUUAUAAUUAUGUUGUCAUUUUAUAUUAGUUUUUCCAAGCUAUUGUUAUCAGGGGAUUGGAGAGGCAUGCGACAAAUUGCUAUGCUUUGGAAUAAUAAUGCUUAGAGUAUUUUGAUGGAAGUGUAUAAAACAAUAACAUGAACAUUGUAUUAUUUCAAAAAAUGUAGUGUGAUUACAUUUAAAAGGAUGGAUUUUUUAACAUGUAAUGAAUUAUACAAAUUUUAAUUUAACAUGGAGCAAAAUCUGUCAAAAAUAUUUAUGAUUAAAAACGAAAUUUGAUAUAUUUAUAGAGAUCAAAAACUUAAUUAACCCUUCGUUUUAUUGUGUAUCAAAUUAUUCCGGCUCAUAAGACUUGUGCGGCGCACGGGUCCGCGUUCUAGUGUAUAUAUAUAAUUGUCAAGUAGGGCAUUAGCAUAUUCAUAUUGACCUCCCAAGUAUCAAGGUUGCACCAAAAAUUAGUCAGAAUAGUAGAAACGUUUCCAUGAUUUAACCAAGGAGCCAAUAAUUUAAAGUAGGGCUUAUAAUUUGUUUGAGCAAUCCCAUAUUGAUCCAAAUUACAAAAUUGAUCUGAAUACAAGAGUGGAAGACCGGUAGUCGACCAGUUGGGAAACAAAUUUCAUAAAGUAUUGUCAUGAGCUACAUACAAUCUUUCAUGAAUGUUGCCUCUAGUAUAAGUAAGGUCAGGUUUUUUAACUCUUCAAUGGACCAAAUUGCUCUCAUUGAGAUAUCGAGAGAAUUUUGAAGCCGAUGAUGUAUUAGUAGAAACAUCUACAAACUUUCCAUAUCAACAGAGAAUUACUAUAUUAAAAUCACAUGAUAAAAUUGAGGUAGGUUAUGAUGUUGAUGCAUAUUACAAAGUUCGGUCAACGAAUCUUAAGAUUCUAACCUGAGACUCUCAUAGACCUUUGUUUAUAAUCCAAGGGGCUUUAGUGAGAGGAGACACCUUAAAACCACAUGUUGCAAAGACGUUAAAAAUAACAUUGAUUGAAAAUGUAACCUUGAUCUCAUAAGCACCAAAUACCAAUGAAAAAACUAGUCGUUUCAACUCUAGCAACACCAUCGAGCCCAAGCAAUCAAUGACUUUAUAUACACGAGCACCACUAGGACAUGGUUAUGAUAAAGCAAGAAGGCUUAGCUUAUGAGGACGAGUUAUAUCACAAUUCACAAAUGUAACCAGGAAAACGACACCCACCUGCACCUUUGCAGUUCCAAAUAAGAUGAUUCAUUAAUACACAAUAACAAACAGUGGGACAACUGAACUGGAUCGUGGGGGCGUAUAUUGGUCAUUUUCAGAAUCCAUAUUUUCAUGAUAUUUUAAACACUUCAUCCAAUCAACAAGUUGUUUAGCAAUAACUUCAACAUGCAUGUUAACCACACCAAAAAUCAAUUAUGAAGGUUUAGGUUUUUGAAGGAUACAAAUAUCAUUGUUUGCAAUGCUACUAUUUUGCUUACCUCUACUUUCUUGUUUAUUAACCGGAGAAGGGAUAAUAAUAGCCGAAGAGUAAAGAAAGUUAUCCUUAUGGAAAGAAAAAUGGUCAUGCAAUAAAGUAGAAUUAUCAAUUGAUUUGGCAUGGGUUUUAAUUUUAGGGUUAUCUUAUUGGGUCCUCCAAUCAUUGCCUCAACCAACCACUCUUUAAUCAUUGCCUUAUUCUCUUAUUUUUAUCCAACCUUUCUAGCGAGAAGACGCCGUCUUAUUGAAAAAGUUAAGGUAACUUCCUUUCUAGUCUCGUUGUUGGUCAGUUGGAAUAAUUCAAAUUUGUUGCCUUUACUUUCAUGCAUCUUAGAAUUCCGACAAUUUUUCUUUCCCUUCUUAACUAAAACAACAAAACCAAUGAAAAAAAAUGGUGAACAAGAUUUGAAUAUAUAGUGAUAAAGAGAAGAUAGUAGGAUAUGCGAUAAUUACCUAAGGAGAUGAUGGCGAGAAGAACCAUAAACCCGCAAGAAGAAGAGUGAGCCAUGGUGUUGUGAGAUGUAUUCGUCACCGUCUUGUGAUUCAAAGAUGGAGUAGUAUUGACGAUGAUGCGAGUGUUACUCUGCGCAUUUUAUAGUGUUUACUGUUUACUCUUAAUUUCGAACAAGUCAUUGAUGAUUACGUGAACCAAUUGUAAAUCGAGUUAGGACGAUUUUAGCCAAUGGGAUGCCUCUUGUGUGUGUAGGAACGAACAUGUCACUUCCCUUUGAAAGUCGCUCUACUACGAUCUUAUUUGUUGAUUUAUUUCCCUUUCCUUAGGCUAUAAUCAUUUGAUCCUAUCAGUUCAAUUGAUUAUAUUUGUUUAUAAUUCUAUUUUAUUUUAUUUUGCAAAAUUAACUAAAUAAAUUUUGUUGCAAUACAUAAAUUAGUAAUUAUGUUGGCUUCAAAUUAUGGUUGGCAAAUGUCUAAAUUCACGGUCAUUUGAUUAUACUACUUUCAUUUCUAUAUUUGAAUGGAGUUUAAUUUAACGUAAUGAAAAAUCUCAUAUCGGGCGAUAGACCUAGUGACCGCUUUUUCACUAGAAAAGAGCAAAAUUCACACAGAGAAACUAUAGAACCAUUUUACCAUUGUCUCGUGUUGAAUCAUUAGGUUCAACAUUUGGAUUCAGAAAGCUGCAUCAUUGAUAUAGCCGUGACAUAGAUUUGUAAUCCAAACUUGGGUAUCACGUAAUACGGAGUGAGAGUGUGUUCUUCCCCCUUGCUGCGGCUAUUGAAAAUUUAGUUACAGUUGACGUCAAAGCUAUGGAGAGAUUUAAUAGAAAAUAUGUUCGGAUUUGAGUUGAACUUUAUAUGAAUGAAACUGUGGUUGGACACAAAUUUUUGUGGGAUGUGGUUGAAAGCACAAUGUGAGGGCUUGCAUGUUUGUGUAAAAAUUAUAGUACAUGUGGUCAUGUUGCUCAAAAUUGUUUUAAGAAGUUGUAGAAAUCAAUUGUGACGACGAAGACAACUAAGGCGAUUCACAAUUAUAGUUAAGUCGAAUGAGAUCGUAAUUAAACACUAGUUGGCAAUAUUGUUGAUAGGUAUUGUGAACUCGAACAAAUUGUCAUAAAUAUAAGGAUUUAAUAGUUGUUUCCAAAAACAAAAACAUAUUGUUACCUAAAUAUGAAAUUUUUGAUUUUACAUAAAAAUAAACGUCAUUCAAAUAUAGAAACGAAUAUAGUAUAAUGAAAUCCAUAAUUUGAAGCCAAUAUAUAAUUACUAAUUUAUGUAUUGCAACAAAAUUUAUUUAUUUAAUUUUGUAAAAUAAAAUGAAAUAAAACAUAAUUAUAAACGAAUAAGCGUAAGGAAAGUAGAAAAAAUCAACAAAUAAAUAAGAUUGCAGUAGAGCGACUUACAAAGGGAAGUGACAUGCUCCCACACACAAGAGGCAAUCCCAUUGGCUAAAACCGUCCUGACUCAAUUUUCAAUUGGUCCACGUAAUCACCAAUGACAUGUUCGAAAUUAAGACUAAACACUAUAAAAAGCGCAGAGGAACACUCGCAUCAUCAACACAUCUUCAUCUUUGAAUCACAACAAGACGGUGCAGUAUACAUCUCACAACACCAUGGCUCGCUCUUCUUCUUGCGGGUCUGUGCUUCUUCUCACCAUCAUCUCCUUAGGUAAUUAUCACAUAUCUCACUAUCUUCUCUUUAUUCACUAUUCAGAUCUUGUUCACCUUCCUUUUCUCAUUGCUUUUUUUUGUUUUGUUUUAGAUCUUUGAUUUAUAUGGAUCUGAUUAGAUCGAGAUCUUAACCCUAAUUGCAUCACAUUCUAAUUACUUAUUAUUAUUAUUAUUAUUAAGUAGUUAGCAUCAAUCAAUGAGUUAUAGUUUUAAUAUGCAUCUAUGCAAUCUGCAUCUAAGGAACUCAAUCGAAAGUGUUUAAUUAUUGCUUUGUUUUGAAUUUUGUGGACUGUUAUUGUUAUGUGUUGUUGAUUUUCUUAUUUCCUUUUAAAGACUGUUAAUUAAUACAAUUACCUGCGGUUUCUUUGAAUCUUAGAAGUAGAUGCCAAUUAGACCUUUUUAUUUGUUUGGAUUAUCAGUUUUCAGGUACAAACAAGUGUAAUUAAAUACAUGCAUUAUUGGCUUCAAAUGGAUACAUUUUUUUUAAUAGUCUUGUUUUGAUAGUACCAUGAAUCAUGUUUUUUUCCGUUUAAGGUUUUAUUCGUAAUGUUGCCUUUAAAUAGUUGGUUUAUGUUGUUUUCGGGUAAUGCUUUUAUGGGAUGUGAUUACAUGGUUUGAUUUGACACCGAUUUGAAUGUUUUGAGUUUUUAUAGUUAUAGUAAUUGUGAUGGUUUAUUGCAGUAUGUCUAUUUGCAACAUCUGCUGCAAAAGAGGAAGGGACCACCAAGUUAGGGACUGUUAUUGGGAUAGAUCUUGGAACAACCUAUUCAUGUGUUGGUGUUUACAAGAAUGGCCAUGUUGAAAUCAUAGCCAACGACCAAGGAAAUCGUAUCACACCAUCAUGGGUUUCUUUCACCGAUGAUGAGAGAUUGAUUGGAGAGGCUGCUAAGAAUCUGGCAGCUGUCAACCCUGAAAGGACCAUCUUUGAUGUCAAGAGACUUAUCGGAAGAAAGUAAGACAUCAUUCUAUAUGUUUGCAGUUUAUAAUGACUAAUAUUUGUUAAUUUGAUGUAACGGGAUCAAUGUUGACCGAGUUGUUUCUUUCUUCAGAUUUGCGGAUAAAGAAGUUCAAAGAGACAUGAAGCUUGUUCCUUACAAGAUUGUCAACAAGGAUGGAAAACCAUACAUUCAGGUCAGAGUAAAGGAUGGUGAGACCAAGGUGUUCAGCCCUGAGGAAGUCAGUGCCAUGAUUCUGACUAAGAUGAAGGAAACCGCUGAAGCAUUCCUUGGCAAGACUAUUCGUGAUGCCGUGGUCACUGUCCCAGGUGAAUUACAACUUGUUCCUCAUGCAAUUUGAUUAUUUUCUUCCCCAUUUUGUCUUCAUUUUAACGUUUCUGGUCUUCUUUUGAAUUUACAGCUUACUUCAAUGAUGCUCAGAGGCAGGCCACCAAGGAUGCCGGUGUCAUUGCUGGUUUGAAUGUGGCUAGAAUCAUUAACGAACCUACCGCUGCUGCCAUUGCUUAUGGAUUGGACAAGAAAGGUGGAGAGAAGAACAUUCUUGUCUUUGAUCUUGGAGGUGGAACUUUUGAUGUCAGUAUCUUGACAAUUGACAAUGGUGUUUUUGAGGUUCUUUCUACAAAUGGAGAUACCCAUCUUGGAGGUGAGUACUUAUAUAUGUAUAAGAGAAAGAAUAAGAUUAGAUUAAGACAGAUUUUACUUCUGUUGUUAUUGCUUGCCAAGUGCUAACUCUUCAAUUGUUUACCAGGUGAGGACUUUGAUCAGAGAAUAAUGGAGUACUUCAUUAAAUUGAUCAAGAAAAAGCAUAGCAAGGAUAUUAGCAAGGACAACAGAGCACUUGGAAAGCUGAGGAGGGAGAGUGAGCGUGCCAAGAGAGCUCUUAGUAGCCAGCACCAAGUCCGUGUGGAAAUUGAGUCACUUUUUGAUGGUGUUGAUUUCUCUGAGCCACUUACCCGUGCUCGAUUUGAAGAGUUGAACAAUGACUUGUUCCGGAAGACAAUGGGACCUGUGAAGAAGGCAAUGGACGAUGCUGGAUUACAGAAGAAUCAAAUUGAUGAGAUUGUUCUUGUUGGUGGAAGCACAAGGAUUCCAAAGGUACAACAACUUUUGAAGGAUUACUUUGAUGGAAAGGAGCCAAACAAGGGCGUCAACCCUGAUGAAGCAGUUGCCUUUGGUGCUGCUGUGCAAGGAAGCAUUUUGAGUGGGGAGGGUGGUGUAGAAACUAAAGGUACCUUUAUAUUUUAUACUCUAGCCUUUCAAUUGCAUUAGUUUGCUAUUAUUUGUUAUUGAUGCAUUUUGAUUUCCAAGUAUUACACUUUCUCAUUGUUGUUCUAUUCUCCGUAUCCAGAUAUCCUUCUCUUGGAUGUUGCACCUCUUACCCUUGGAAUUGAAACUGUUGGAGGAGUGAUGACAAAGUUGAUUCCUAGAAACACUGUUAUCCCCACCAAAAAAUCCCAGGUGUUUACCACCUACCAGGAUCAGCAAACAACUGUCUCUAUUCAGGUACUGUACCAUUAUUCCACUGCAUAUUGUUAGGACAUUUUCCUUCUAGAUACAAUAUUGAGUAAUGAGGGGUGUAGAACUCAACCGGGGUGUUGUAUGUUUUUUAUAUG
rnacentral:lncRNA from 1 species